ACCCGAAAGCUCGGAUACCAAUUUGUGAAAAAAAAGAAAACACAAAUUUUACGUGGAAACCCUUUCGGGAAAAAACAACAGGCAGAGGAGAAGAAAAUUCACUAUGUCGAAAAUUUGAAUCUAUACAAGAGGAAUAGACUAUGUCUAUUUAUAGGCUUGUAAAGCCAUAUUCUAGUAGGAUUGAAACACCUUAUCCUAAUAAAUAUAAAAUAGAUGGAGUUUAAUAAGGUUUAAAAAACCUUAUUCUAAAAUAAAAUAAAAGAAGUCUAGUUCUAUAUGGAUUUUACUUUUAUUUUAUUUUCCAUCGUAUUUUAUUUAAAUAAGAAUCCGGUUCACUUAAUUCUAACAAUAUUAAAGUCAAUGCGUUCUCAGAAAGUCCUUCCAAUCGAACUACUGGAAGAAGAUGAAGCAUGGAAGCUGUUUAAGGACCUGGCUGGUCCUAUAGCUGAAAGAUCUGACUUGCAACCUACAACAGAAAAAGUCACCCAAAAAUGUGCAAGAUUGUCGAUCGCUAUUGCAACAGUUGCAAAGGCUUUGAAACAUAAGGAGAAUUUGUAUGAAUGGGAGGACGCUUUGGAAAGGGAGCUAUCAGGUGAUGUGUAUUCAGCCAUAAAGAUAAGCUAAAACUACUUGGAAAUGGAGGAACUUAAAGAAACUUUCUUGCUCUGCAGUAUAAUGGGUCAUAAUACUGCCACUGCAGGCUUGCUGAAAUAUUGCAGAGGCUUAGGUUUAUUCUGUGAGCUUGACACAAUUGAAAAAGUACGGAGGAGAGUAUUGUCAUUGGUUAAUGAGCUCAAAGACUCUUCUCUGUUACUUGCUGGUUCUAACCUUGAACGAUUUGACAUGCAUGAUGUUGUUUGCGAAGUAGCCAUUGCAAUUGCUUCUAGGGAUCGUGGUUGGCUUACUUCGGGAAAAGAGGAUGUAUUUGAAGAGUGGUCAGAUAAGGAUAGAAUGAGAACCUGCAGUCUUGUUAGGUUACAAAAUACGAAGGUUAGGGAGCUACUAGGUGAGUCAAAAUUUUCAAAACUUUCCUUUUUCUUGGGUAGAGUGUAUUCGUCUUUAAAAAUUCCAAAAAAUAUUUUUGUGGGGAUGAAAGGACUCAAAGUAUAAAAUUUUACCUUCCUCCAUUGGUUUCUUGGAAACUCUUUGUACAUUUAGUUUGGUAGGUUGUGAUGUUAGGAGAGUGUAAUAACCUAAAUUUGCCCGGCCCGAAAAAUAAUAAACAAAGAAAACAAAACAAAAUAAUAAAAGUCCUUUUACAGUAGCCCAUGUACAUAGCCCAAUUAGUUUAAAACCCAAAUACCCGGUUACACCCAACCCAACACCUAAACACGGCCCAAGGGGGCCCAAAUCAUUAACAGAAGACAGAAGGCCUAGGGUUUCAAAAACCCUAGGCACCGCAAGCGUCAGACAAAGGAUCCUAAAUUCACGCCGCAAUCGGUGUGCCAAUCCCACCACCGGCAGAUUCGCAUCAUCAACGUACGAUUGUUGCCCAUUCUCUUGUCGUCACCUGCAAAAAGAGAAAGAAACACACAACAAAUAUGGCAAGGAAUCGAACAGGGGAAUGCACCAAACUUGUAAACAGAGGCUAUAAAAGCCGAAUAUCUUUACUGUGAACAGGAAGGGGGAAUUUUUUUUAAUACAUACAAAAUAGAUACACGCAUAUAUAGAUACAAGAAAGAAAUACAAGUGGUUUUUUUGAGAAAGGUGAUUUAAACAUACAUCGCGUUCAUCAUAGUUUAUUUUCAUUUGUUCAGUGCAUAUGAUUUGUUUUUUUUUUUUUACGAAAAACUGUUGGUAUUUAGAAGAGAAAAGAGGUUACUGUGUUUCGCCUGAAAAAUUGGAGGCUUUUCACCUUCCAACCGCCGUGGGCGGUGGUGCGUAUGGCGCGUGGGCGAUGAAGGCCGGAGGCUGGAGCUUGGAGGGUUCUUUACUUCCUCUCCUGCAGAGAAUUUUAAGUUUUUUUUUAAACUAGCUGUAAGAAAUGAAUUUUGGACCGAAAUCUGACUUAUAUAGCAUUAUAAAAAUGGUGUCGUUUUUGCUUAGUUCAAUAAGCAUUAAAACGACACCGUUUAAAUAAAGGACCCGUGCGUUGACCCGUGACCCGGGGAGGAUCCGCGUGUUUUUGGUAAAUGGACAAAUUGCCCAAUUGGUCCUUCCGCAUUUUCAAUAUUUAUAAUUUUAUUUUAUUUUAUUAUAAUUUGGCCCUGACCUUUUAUUCUUGUUUUAAUUUAGUCCUAGCUGCUAUAAUAAGGCCUAUUUUGAGAACGACGUCGUUUUGGGAUUAGAGACAAAUUGCCCAGUGAGUCUCUCGGCUUUAGCGCGUGUUUCAAUUAGGUCUAAAAUUCUUUUUUAUUAUUUUAAAAUUAACCCUAGAGUUUUAUUUUUAUUUCAUUUUAGUCGUUUUUAAAAUUUUUAUAUAAUUUAUUUAUUUUAAAUAUUUUAUAUAUUAUUUAUUUUUACUACAAACAUUAUUUAUAUAUUUUUAUCUAUGUAUUAUUCAUAUUUUAUUAGACAUUUAUUUAUAUGCUUUAUUAUAUAUUAUAUUAUUUUAAUAUAUAUUUUAUUCAUUAUAUUAUUUUUUAUUAUAUAUUAUAUUAUAUUAUUUAUUAUUAUGUACAAUUUUUUUAAAUUUUUUUUAACUAUUAUUAAAUAAUAUAUAUAUCAUUUUUAAAUAUUUAGUAUUUAAUAUUCUAAAAUUUAUUGCAAAAUUUUGUUCCUAUUUAACAUAUUAUUAUUUUUAUAAAUAUAUAUUAAACUAUUACAUUAUAUAGUAUAAUUUUUAAAGAAUUAUCCUUUAUUCUUUAUAUAUUGUUUUAAAUUUUUUUAUUUGUAUUUAAUAUUAUCUUUUCUUUUCUUCUGACUUUUGUUAUAUAUUCCUAAUUUAUUUAUUUUUGUAUCAGUUUGCAUUUAUUUAGUACUAUUUUAAUAUGUUAAUUGUAUCUUAUGAGUUACUUAUUAUUUAUUAUUUUAUAUAUUUGUGUGGAAAUUUAUGUUGUUAUUUUUAAGUUAUAUAUGCAUGAAAUAUUAUUGUAUAUAUUAUGUAAUUUGUGUUGUUCUAUUCAUUAUUCUCUAUGUUGCAUUUUGCAUGGAAUGAUAAUGUAUGUAUAUUUACGUUAUUUACGAUUAUAUAUGCAUGAAAUGUUAAUGUAUAUGGUGUGAUUUACGUCAUUAUUAUCAUUUUCCAUACUAUAUUUGCAUGAAAUGUUAAAGUAUGUAUCAGGUAGCUUAGUUUACUUAAUAUUGAUCUUUUGUAAUAUGUUAAAUACAUCAUUGCUUUUAAAAAUUAUAUCUCAUUUAAUCCAAAAGAAUUUUAAAAAGAGAGGCAAUGUUUUUGGUAUUUAGGAAUUCGGGAAAUAGUGCCCUAACAUGCUGGGUUGCGAUUUCCCGUUUGUCUAAAUGUUUAAAGUAUCCUUCUAAAUAGAUUUCGUAAAUCACGAGAUGAUUUCAAUUACGAAAGUUUAAGAAUAUUGUGUCCAAUCAUGCUGGAUGUGAUGUUUGUACUCUUUUGGAGUGAAAGAACCUCGAUUUUCAGCAAAUUAUUAUAGUUUUAAAAAGGGAUCUUAUUUCCAAACUCCUUCAAACUUUUGACAUCAAGACAGAAAACUAAUUUGGUACCAAUUUUGGGCAUUGUGAGGGUACUAAUCCUUCCUUGCACGUAAUCGACUCCUGAACCUAUCUUCUCAUGUUUUCGUAGACCAAAAUGUUUUAUAAGGUGAUCUAAUCACACCUAAAAAGGUUGGUGGCGACUCCUGUUUUCAAAAAUCUCGCUUUUAAAAUGGAGGUUUCGACAGAGAGUUACAAAAUUUAGAAAUCCAUGACCUCCGUAAUUUUACUAUUAGAGUGCUCCCAAAGGAAAUAGGAGAGUUGAGGAGGCUAAAAUUGCUAGACUUGAGUGGUUGUUCCAGUCUUGAAGCAAUAUCACCAAACGUAUUGUCAAGUUUAUCCAGAUUAGAAGAACUCUACUUAUAUGAUAGCUUUAAUAGAUGGGAUUGGGAGGUUGAGGGAAAUGAGAAUAAACCAAGGAGCAAUGUUAGUCUUGUUGAGUUGCAGAAUUUGUCUCGUCUGACCACUUUGGAAGUACAUGUUACGUUCCUGAUGUGCGAGCUAUACCCAAACAGAAGUUGUUUUCUGGAAACAUGGAAAGAUACAAGAUUUCCAUUGGAGAUGUUAAGUAGCAUUGGUCUGAGAGAUGGAUGGAAACAUCAAGAUUGCUGAAGCUCACAAGUCCUCAUUUGGCCCAUGAAAUUAAAACGUUAUUGAGUAAAACCCGAAGUUUAUAUCUAGUAGAAGUAGAACAUACCAUGGAAAUGCUUUAUGACCCGAUUACUGAAGGUUUUCCACAUCUAAAGCAUCUUGAGGUGUUUAAGGUCUCAGACAUCAAAUUUGUUAUUAACCCUAAGAUGUUGGUUUCUUCCUUGGAGUCAUCGUCUCUAGCGAAUUUGAUGAAUUUAGAGGCAAUAUGUGAUGGUCAACUCAAAGCUGAAUCAUUUGGCCGACUCGGAUCCGUAACAGUCCACAAUUGCGAUAUGUUGAAAAAUUUGUUCUUCUUCUCCAUGGCCAAAGGGCUUCGUCAAUUUGAAAAAAUAUCGGUAGACUUGCGAGAACAUGAGAGAGUUAAUACUAGUGGAAAAAGAAGAGAUUGGAGAGGAUGAUAUUUUGGAAUUUACUCAACUACGCUCCUUAACCUUGGAAUGUCUUCCCACAUUCAAUAGCAUGUGGAAUUCCUUUGCUACGUGGCUUUUUGAUAAAAAGUAUUUAAGCUAAUCUUUUUCUUUUUUCAUUUGUUUCCUUUUAAAUUAGUAAUUAAUUGGUAAGUGGGAGUAAAACAACAACAAUAAUUGCUUUAUAAAUUUUUAAAGUUUAUGGCAGUUUUGUCUUUCAAAAAAAGUUUAAAUUUGGAUCUUCUCUUGAAAAUAUAAUGUGCAUCUAAUAUAUAUUACUGAAUUAUCCAAUAUCAUAUUUUUAUUAAAAAAAUUAAAUUUUUUAUUAAAAAUUACUGGAAAUUUAAUAGUGUUAUUUUUGGAUAAAUAAAUUAUAUAUGAAUUUUAAAGUUGUAAAUAUGUAUUAUUUCUCAAUUUAAGGGUUUAGAGGAACUUAUAAAUAAUAGUAAAAGUGAUAUUAAAAAAAAUUCAAGUAGAUGGAAUUUUUCCAUAUAAAAAAAAGAGUUGAUGGGGUUGUAUUUCUUACCUUAAUGAAAAUUAAGGUAGAGUUGUUGGUAUGAAAAUCAUUCUUACAUAUUCUUAAUGAUAAUUAAUAAAGUAUUGUUAAUGAUGAUGCCAAAUAUGAUUUUAUUUGUAGGUUUUGUUUCCGGCAUUGAAGGAGUUGUAUUUGCAUUCAGUCAAUAAAAUUGAAAAAAUAUGGCAUGAUGAUCGACUUCUUACGGUGUCUCUUGAUGUUUUAAGUUUUAACACAUUUGGAAGUGUUCGAUUACCAUAAGCUGAAGUGUGUAUUUAUGUCAUCUAUAGUUAAAAGCUUUGUGCAUUUGAAAACACUUAUUGUUUUUUAUUGUGAUGAAAUGGAAGACAUAAUAAAAGGAAUACUAGGUGGAGAAGAAAGGAUUGGCAACAGUGUCGAAACCUCUUUUUAAAUUGGGGAAGGUAUUUUAAAAACGGGAGUCGCCACCAACUAUAAAUCAUGUUAUAGGAUAUAAUAACUUAAUAUAUAUUAAAAAAAAUAAUGUACUAAAUAGUAAUAUUACACAUAUUUAUUUAAUAAAAAAAACAUAUGUAGUUAAGGAGUAAUAGAAUAAUGUAUAUUUUAUAAUAAAAUAAAAGUAAUGUAAGGAAUAAUAUAUGGUAAAAUAUAAUAUAUAAUAAAAUUUAUAAAUAAAAUGUAUAAUAAUGAUAUAAAUAAUAUAAUGAUAAUAUAUAAAUAAAAAUAAUAUGUACUAUUUUAUAUAACUAGUAUUUAUAAAAAUAGAUAAUAUAUAAGGUAUUUAAAAUAAAUUAAAUAUAUAAAAAGGGUUAAAAUUGAAUUUAAUUAAAGAAUCUGGGGUUAAAUGCAAAAUAAUAAAAAAUUUGGGCCUAAUUGAAACACUCACUAAAAGCCGAGGGACUCAUUGUGUAAUUCGACCCCAAUCCUAAAAUGACAUCGUUCUUCAGAAUGGAUUUUAAAGACCGUUAGGAUUAAAUUGAAACAAAUAUAAAAGAUUAGGGCCAAAUUAAAAUAAAAAUAAAAUGAAAUUAUAAAGAUUAAAAAUGCGAAAGGACCUAUUGGGAAAUUAGCCCAUUUUCCAAAAACACGCGGAUCUUCCCCGGGUCUCAGGUCAAUGCGCGGAUCCUAGCCUUGGAACGACGCUGUUCUAAAGCUUUUUUUUUUAAGCAAAACGACGUCAUUUAUAUGAGGCUAUAAAAGCCUAGUUUCAGCCAAAAAAAAAACAUUUUUAAACAUAUUUAAAAAAAACAGAAGGAUUCUCUGAAAGGGGGCCGAGAGCAAACCCUCGGAGCUCUGUUGAGCUUCCAUCAUUGGGUUCCUACGCGCUCACGCGCCACCACUGACUUCGCCGAGUACGGUGGUCAGAAUACGAAUCGUUUCGCCUUUUUCACAGCAAAAAGGUAAUCUCUUUUAUUUAUUUUUUUUACAGUAUUUUGCAUGUAUGAAACGUUGAUAUCUAAGAAAAGAAAAAAGAUCACCUUUGUUUUCUGACAAAGUAAAGAAAUCGAUAAUAUUCUUCUGUGCUCUUUUUUAUUUCCCUUAUUUUUUUCCUUACAGAUUAAAAAGAAAGGCUUUUAUAGCCCUUUGUAAGUCAUUACAGUUUGGGAAUGAAAUCUCUGAUUUCUUUCCAUAUUUUGCUUCUCUUUUUCUUCUGUCGUUCUUUCCAUUUUUUGCAGGUGACGACGAGAAAAUCCGUCAGUGAAUUCGCUAACGUUGAUUCGCCCGUUGAUUGCAGAGUGAUACGAGGCCGGAGUCACGGGGUAAGACGAAGAGGCGUGUCUGUUGCGGCGCGAAGCUUCUAGAAACCCUAGGGUUUCUAGAUUUAGUUUAGGCACUGGGCCUCGCUAGUUUGGGUCUGGCUCGGGUAUUUGGGCUUGGGUGUAACCGGGCUAGUGGGUAGUUUAGGUUAAUUGGGUUCUAAGAAUUUGGGUAUUCUGGUUCAAACCAUUUGGGCUGCAAAUGUAACCGGGCUCUUUUGUUUGGGUUAUCAGGCUUUUAAGCCUGUUUAUUGUAAACAGACAUUUUAUUAUUUUUACUCUAAUUCACGGGCUCGGGUAAAUUUGUGUUAUUACAAACAGCAUAAGGGUGUUCCCUCAGCUUGACUCGUUGAAACUCAUCAAUCUUUCUAAUCUCAAAAGAUUUUGCCCUGGAGUUAACCUAAUAGAAUUUCCCUUUUCUAAGACAAUUAGAAAUAAUCAAAUGUCCUGUUUUGAGCACAUUCCAUUUUGAUACCACAAGUAUUGGAAACACUUCACUUGAUCCUAAUGUACCUCAGCCACAAUAUCUCUUCAGUGCAAAAGUAUGUUUAAUGUUAAUGUUUUCUUUUUCUUUCUUUUUUCUUUUUUUACUUUUGUGUAUAUAUAAAUAUCUCUUAUCUUAUAAAAUAAAUUUAGAAUAUACUUAUAGUUCCAAAUGCAUUCUAUACAAAAUAACAUAAUUUUUUUUUAUUUGAUUGAUCUCAAUUAGUAUCUUUUCUAAUCAUAACAUUUUAUUUUUGUUUUUAUGAUCAGUUGAAUAUUGAAAGUUAAAGAAUAUAUAUUAGAAAAUCUUUUCUCUUAGUUAAAUUUAUUUUAUUCAUCUAUCUAAUAUCCAUAGGAACCUAAUAAAUAUUGUUUUUCUUUUUGUUAGGAUAACAUGAAUACUUAAUUUAAUCAAAUUUAUAUAUAUGCAUGUUGAUAAUUGUUUAUUAAAAAAAUUUACUUGAAUUAAAGUUGAUAAAUACUGAAACAUGUGCAUAAAAGUUAGUACUCUGAUAUUUAAUUGAAUAAUAAUAUUAAUUAAGAAAAAAAAAUUUAAUAAUGAUGGAUAUCAAUGGUAAUAUAGAAAUAAGUUUAAUUAAUUAAUAUUUUAAUUUGAUAAAAAGGCGAUUAAUGAUUAAAAAUGAAAUAGUUAAUUUUUAAAAUUUAUCAUACGUUGAGUAUUUAUAUUUUAAUGUUUGGUCCUUUUACAUUUAGCUUUUUACAUCAUAAAUAUUGUAAUAUUUUAAAGGGGCAUUCUAACAUUUUAAGGUUAAAAAAUUAAAUGUUUUUGAAAACAUGAUGAGAUUUAUGAGAUAAGUGAAAAAGAAACUGUAAAACAUGACAUACAUAGUUGUAGUAAGAAAUUGCAAAAAUUUCCUAUCAACUUAACUUUACUUAUUGACACAUUCAAAUGAAUUGUGCAUGUAAAUUUAGGAGAUAUCUCUUGUGCUAAAGAAAUUGGGUAUUUGUUUUAAAAGGGUACAAGAGGUGUUUGAGAUUGGAAAAUAAGCAUUUCCCGAACAUGAUUGGUGGAAAAAUUGGUAAAGAAGUGUUUGAGUAGUAGUGGUGGCAUAGAAAACAUGGAAAGGCUAUGGCCUAACCUACUUGAUGAACAUUUGUAUUCUAAACUAACUUCAUUUUCCUUGGAAGAUUGUCCUAAGUUGUUGAAUAUUUUUCCGUUGAGUAUGUUGACAAGACUUCAAUAGCUUGAGAAAUUGAGCAUAUGGAAUUGUGACUCAUUAGAAGAAAUAAUAUGUGAAUCUCAAUCUCCAAAAGUUAACACUAAUGCUAUGUAAUCACUUUCUCCACAACUUAUUCAAUCAGAUGUUACAACUUAUUCUGCCAAAAUAUAGAGAGAAUUUAUUCUCAACUUUUAAAUAUAUUUUUCAUAAUAACAAUUUUACCGGUUUCUAUUAAAGAAAAAAGAAUUUUCGUUUUCAUCCCAAAAAGAAAACUUUUUCUAGUUUUGUGUUUUUGUUUAAUUGAUUUGAGCCCACACUCAAAAUAGUUCAUGGUACGAGAAUAAUAGAGAAGACCGUUUGGUUGAAAGUUGGAAAACAUCAAGGAUUCGCUUAUCCAAAAACACAGAUAUGAAUUCAGUUAAGGUUUAUUGCUAUAAAUAUAACAAACCGAGUUGGUUUUCAAAAUUUUUAUUUUUCGUUGUGCAAGAAAACCAUUUUCAAAUCAGAUUUUUUCCAAUAAACAGUACAUCAGACAGGACCCAACCAGAAUAUAUCCUGAAUCCAUUUACGGAUUUAUUCACUUGUGAUGUUUACAGUGUGACAUACUUAAAUCUUGAGUGGAUGACAAACUAUGUAUGCGCGACUCAUACACUUUGAUGUAAGUAAAAGCCUAAGUUCAAAUAGAUAAAGAAUCGAAAGCCAGUGUGUUGGGUGCAUGACUUCUGUAGUAUGUAGCAUCAUUUACAAUAGUGGAAUUCAUAGCCCAAAACAUGGGUAAAUCUCUUAUUCACAUUAAAUGGUUAACGAAAAGUAAACGUGACCACGAGUCGUUUGUCUUUAUGAUGGAUGACUUGAUCACUACUUGAUAGUGAUUGACUUUUCAUGAAGAAAGAUGUAACCGGUUAACAUGAGAUAAAAUAUGACCACAUUUGGAGAACGGAUAUUCUCCCAAAGAGAUCAAGGGUAUCCUAUGAGGGUAACACACUUAUGACAUGUAACAACCCGAUACCCAGCCUAAAAGUUUAGGCCGGAUCCCAGAGUUUACACUGACCACCAAAGUGAUCUAAAAGCAAUUUACAUAAAGAAUUAUUUAAAACUCACUUCAAACACAGUUUGCUAAAAACAUACUAAGUCAUUUAACAAUUUACGCUUUAAAGCAGUAAUUCUUGUAUAGUUUCAAAAUACAUCUAUUUUGCCAAAUGUAAUUCGAAAUUUUUGAAUUAGAAAUUGUGCGAAAAAUAUGUUGUUCAAAAUCAAAAUCACGUAGUUUAACGAAAAGUUCAAACCUUAACCCAUACCAUAGUUUAUAUAAUCUCUUUACAAAUAAUCUUAAAACCAACCGUAUAAACUUAUGAAAGUUUUAACUAAACCGAAUCAAACCAAACUUUCUAAGACCUCUGGCUACCAAGUCCAGCUUCUAACACAAAAUUUACUUGAAAGAGAGGAAAAUAAGGGAUGAGCUACACGAGCUCAGAGUGAGUCCGAAAUUAAAAACAAAAGCAAUAGACAGAGUAUUCAGACGAAUAUUGAUAUCUGCACACAAACAGUGAACGAACAAUAAAAAGUAUCAGUACUCAAUCUUACAAGUAAUUUCCAGUAAUCAUACACACAUAUCAUAAUGGUAUAUUUCACACGUCAGACUAUUCACGUUAAUUCGAAACUAUCCCAACCAUCAGACAGAUAAACACAUACCGAAUAUAAGAUAUAUGUAACAGGUUAAAAACUCACUUGAUCAACCAAACACCUUUUCAUCCACCCUGUACACCACAUAAAGGCUACAGAAGGCCUGUCCACCUUGCACACCACAUAGAACCAUUAAAGGUUCAUCCACCCUACACACCACAUAUAGUGGAACUAAGCCACUCGAGUGAAAGUAUACAACUGAGUUGGUAAACGGUCAGUAUAGUACAGUAUACCGCUAUACAAAAGCAUUAUAGUUAAAACUGCCCAAAUCAGUCUUCCUUCUCUUCGCAACCAAAACCCCAAUUUUAUGCAAAUGUAUGAAUGCACACCAAACAGUAACAGUCUCAUAGAUAUAGAAGCUCAUAUUCAGUCUGUCAAUUUCAGAAUCGGUUUUACUUGUUUAACGGUUAAUAUGUAACGACGGCAUAAAUACCUCAACUCAUUUAUCACAUCAUCUAAACACAUGAAUAACUAAUUAGUUUAAAUCAUGUAAUUGCAAACACACACUCGAAUCUAAGCGGAAAACAGAGUCCUAACACAUUUACAGAGGCCCCAACAAACAUUGGACUACAUAGGAACUAAGACAGGUCAAAAUACAACACAGAACAAAAAUCUACGAAACAGGUCUACACGGCCGUGUAAAGGUUUACACGCUCGUGUGACUGAGUUACAUGGCCGUGUGAAUAGCCCGUGUAACUCAGUAUCCAUAAUUUCCAAAAUAAGGUGUAGAGCAGACACGGCUAUGUGUCCCAGGCUCACGCCUAUGUAAAAAUCAACAAAAAUCCUUAAAUCAUAGCCACACAGUUGUGAGGCACCAAAAUCAUCCAAAAACCCUAAUUCCCAAAGUCACACAGCUGUGUGAACACCUCAUGUACGACACAUGCCCGUGUGGUCACGAAACCACACCAAAACAGGCUGAAAACCGUAUUUUUGGGAACGAAACAGACCUCAACCUUUGUCAAAUCAUGGAUAUACCAAAACAUAUAGUAUUUCAUAUAGUUCAUUAGCAACACAAUACUUCGAUUAAUCAAUUCCAGAAACACACCUGAUUUCGUGAUCUAAACCACCCAAAACGAUCGAAAUGUCACCACCCACCAAAUUGAUACCUCAAUUCCAUAAACAUGCUAAUCUAUAAGAAAUUGACUAAAUAAUUCGAAAGCAAUAACAAAAUAAAUUAGUCAACGAACCCAAAGGAUGUCAUUUACCCAAUACAACACUCAAAGGAUCAAGAAACGACUUGAGAAGAAGUAACUAGCGGCAACAAUUUUGAAACCCCAAAGAAAGAAAAAAACAAAUCAAAGAAUAUAAAAGAAAGAAAACUUAAAAUAAAGCAAAAGAGAAUGUUGAGACAAAGGAAUGUGGGAGAGGGAGAACAUGAGAAAGUUUUUGGCCUAUUUCGAAAAACAAAAUAAUAUUAAAAAAAUUAAAUAAGUAUUUUAAAACUUAAAAACAAAUCUAAAUUAAAAAAAUAAUUCUUCAAAACACACAUGAGGAUUCAAACCUAGAAUCCAGAGGCAAACUAACACAUCCAACCAUCAAACCAGCAGGCUCAUUCUGAUAUUAAAACGCGACAACAAACCCAUUUGCUCAACCUACUUACUAACCCUUACUUCAUACCUCAAAACUUCUAACCCUAAAUUCCUGGAUGUUACAUGACAAGAUCAUUGGUUGAGCACUGAGUAGUUAGUUACUUUCAAAAUGGUAUGUUGUUAGGGAGAGCUCAGUCACGAUACUAUAGUGGAAUGACUUCAUGACUAAAUAAGUUUAUAAUUCAUGGUAAGAGAAUAACAAAGAAGAUUGUUUGGUUGAAAGCCAAAAACAAUGAAUAUCUGCUAAGCCGAAAACACUAAUAUGAAUUUAGUUAGAGUUUAUUACUAUAAAUAUCACAAACUGAGUCGAUUUUCAAAAUUUUAAUUUUUCGCUGUGCAAAAAACCAUUUUGAAACCUAUUUGAGUACUAAAUAUUUAGUUUGAGUACAAAAAAUAUUGACUACCAAAAUAUUAGGCAAGAGUAAAACAUAAUUAUGUUGACUACCAAAAAUAUUAAGUUUGAGUAAAAAUAAUAAUAUCUCAAAUUGAGCUCACCAAUCCAAAGCAUAUUUCAAUUUGUUUGGGCUUUGAAGAUAUUCAUGAAGAAAUCGUCUUCUAAAAUUUCAUUUCAAAUUAUUUGUGAUAAAAAGAAAUUCAAUGAAAUAAAUAGCAAGAGAAUUAAAGUACCAUCAUAAAUUUACCGAGUAAAAUGUGAAAUGAAGAAAACGUUACUAAAAAAAUCAAAUGCAGGGAUGUGUAGGGGUGUGCAUAAUUUGGGUAAAAUCGAACAAAUUCGAUUAACCGACCGAAUUCAGUUAAUUGGUCUGUUAAUCGAAUUAAUUCGAUCGGGGGUCGAUUAAUAAAAUUUUUGAGUUUUUGGUUAACGGCUAAAUUGGUUCGAAAUUGGUCGGUUAACCAAAUAUUUUUGGUUGAACUGAAAAAUUAAUAAAUAAAAUUAUAAUAUAUAAAUAGGCCCACCGGAAGUAAAAGUAAAAGUAAAACAGCAAGUAAAAAAAAAGGUGGGAAGUUGCAAUGAAAGUAAGUUGGAAAUGUGAAUAAGAUAAUUUCAUUUUUAUUCCCUAAUUUUUAAGCCAUCUGCAAGUUGGUCCUUAAACCUUAACUAUAAAUAGGCUUAACCAUUUCACUUCCAAACCAUCCCGAAUCAUUUUCUCUCAAGCCAUUCUACUACUAGAGAGUUUUAGAGAGUUUUUUAAAUAGUUGUUUCUUAUUUUUAUUAAGAGAGAGUUUUUCAUUGUUUUCUCCUUGUUAAAUUGAGAGAAAUUGUAAUUUUCUAAUUUUCUCAUAGUGGAAUUCUUCUAUCUUUGUCCAUGGUUUUUUAAAACUAAGAGAUUUAUGAUGAAAUCCAAGCAUCAUACCCUUAGAAUAACUAGAUUCCUUACUUCAAUGAUAGAUGCUGUGACAAUAGUGUUUCCACCACCAUCUAUUUGUAAUUCAGUUAAUUCGAUUAAUUCGGUUAAUUUCAUACUUAUUUUAACCAAAAAUAAAAACAUAUAAUUUUCGGUUAAUUCGGUUAACCGAAGAGUCCCCAGAAUCAGCAACACUGACAUAAGCCAAGUAUGCCUCACACCCCUUCCUUUCUAACUUCUCCAUCACUAAUGCAGAUACCACAUUAGUCAAAUAAUCUCGUCGUUCCCCAAUCACGACCACCUCAAUAUCCUCCUCGGUUCUUAGAACAAUCCUCUUUGCAGCGCAAUCCAGACUCACUCGGUGUUUGACUAACCAGUCCAUACCCAAAAUCAGGUCCAACUUCCCAAAUGGAAGCUCCAUCAGAUCAGCCAGAAAUACAGUCCCUUGGACCUCUAAUAGUACGUCUCUAAAUAGUUUAUUAACUCCAACAGACUGCCCCAACGGACUCGCUACUGUUACAUCACUAGAAGUGCUCUCACACGAUAACCUCAAGGUCUCAGACAUCGUACUAGUUACAUAAGAAUGUUUAGAGCCUAUUUCUAUCAAUGCUAAGUAAGGUACAUUAAAAAUUAGGAACGUACCCGUGAUGACGUCUAGAGCAUCUCGGUCCUUACGACAACAUGCAGUAUAAACCAACGCGGGCUGCCUCACCUCAGUCGAUCCAGCACCUCUACCCGGUGCUUUCCGCCCUUAGCCCAUGCCGUUACUACCUUUAGCCUGACCUCAGCCCCUAUGUGGCUGUUGAACUACCUCGGCGGCUGUGUAGUCUCAUUAGUCGGAGCUUGCAUCUGAUUAGUUCUUAAUGGACAGUUCUUAACACUAUGCUCAGUAGACUCACAUCUAAGACAGGCUCCAGUAGACCUCCAACACUCGCCCGGAUGGUGUCUAUUAUAGAGCUGACAAAUCGCCACCCCAGCAGGUGCAACAAUAGGCCCAACUCUCAUGGGUCCAUCAGAUCUGGCCUUUUUUCCUAGGCCUCAUCCCAGAAUUCAAAGGCUCUGCAUCCCUCUUAGCCUUCCCUCUGUCACGGUUCUGGCACUCAGCGUUCUUAACCUCCUCAUCAAUCUUGGCAUUCUCGACCAACACAGCAAACUCACGCUCCCUUUGCAGAGUUAUCAGGAUCCUCAAGUUAUCCUUAAGGUUGUCCUCAAAACAGACAUAGCGCUCAUACUCUGUCGCCACCAUGCCUUGCGCAUAAUGGCUCAGCCUUAGAAAUUUAGCCUCAUACUCGGCCACUGAAUGAUCUUUCUGAGUAAGAUUCAGGAACUCACUGUAGUAGCCCAUUUCUGCCCGGGCCUUAAAACCAAAAAAAAAAUAAAUGUUUAUUUAUUACAGUCCUUUUACAGAACCCAAAAUACAAACCCACUAACCACUGCCCAAAAAUUAAAACCCAAAAUCAAACCCAAAAAUUCUACCCGUGAACUAUAACCCAAAUACCUGUUGCACCCAGACCCAAAACAUACAAGGCCCAAGAGGCCCAAAUUGUUAAAUGAAUACAGAAAGGCCUAGGGUUUCAGAAACCCUAGACGCUGCAAACGGAAGGUUCCAAAAGCUAAACGCCGCAAUCAAUGCGUCGGUUCGUCUCGCGUCGCUCCAGCUACCCACCAUCAGUACCGUGAUUCCAGGCCAUGAUUCCAGGCUUUGAAUCAUGCCGUGGUCUACGCCCGAGUCAACGCCGGUGUUCAUUGUCGCUAAAUCUCCUCGAUCACCUGCAAAAAAUGGAAAGAAGCGAUAGAGACGAAACAAAUAUGACAGGAAAUAACUUUAAAACGUGUAAAAUACUAUGUACAGUGGCUAUAAAAGCCUGAAUCAAAACAAUGUAAAGGAUGAUUUUUCGAUAAAAAAUACACAUAUACAAUAAAAGAUCAGCGUUUUAUCAAAGAGACAGAGGUGAUAUAUCUUUACUUUUAUGUUUUUUUCUCUAAAAUAACAUGCAAGUAUUAUUAAAAUAAGUCAGGAUAGAGUUUUACCGUUGAAAUCAUGUCGUGGCAUCGAGACUUUUCGAAUUCUGGCCGCCGUACAUAGUGGCGUUGACAGUGGCGCGUGGGCGCGUAGGCGCUGAGAACGGAGGCUCGACAGAGCCCGAAGCCGGCCCCAGAUCCUCUUUCAGAGGAUUUAUUUCCUUUUUUUUCAAAAUCGGGCAAAAAUGAUUUUAAAACUGAAACCGGGGCUUAUAUAACCUUAAAAAAACGGUGUCGUUUUGCUUAAUUCAAUAAGCACUAAAACGGCACCGUAUUAGGUAGAGGAUUCGCGUGUUGACUCGAUUACUCGGGGAGGAUCCGCGUGUUUUUGUAAAUUGGGAUAAUUUCCCAAUUGGUCCUUCCUUUUUUUUAUAUUUUUAAUUUCAUUUUAUUUUAUUUUUAAUUUAACCCUAAUAUUUUAAUUUUGAUUCAAUUUGGUCCUCACAGUGGCUUUAAAACCGAGUUCAUGGAAACAGUGUCGUUUUGAGAUUAGGGCUAAAUUGCCCAGUGAGUCCCUUUGGUUUAGCGAGUCUUUUAAUUUGGCCGAAAAUUUUAAAUUUAUUUAUAAUUAACCCUAAGAUUUUAAAAUUAAAUUAAAUUUAAGUUUUGUUAUAUAAAUUCAAUAUAUUUUAAAUAUUAUAUAUUCUUUAUAUUAUUUUAUUUAUAUUAUUUAUAAAUUUUAGUAUAUGUUAUUUUUAUUAUAUGUUAUUUGUUCCAUUUAUAUUUUAUUAUAUAUUUUUAUAUUAUAUAUAUUAAUUAUUUUAUUAUAUUUUUUAUGUAAAUUUACUUAAUAUAUAAUUCUUAUUAUUUUAUAUUUCAUUUAUUAUAUAUUUUAUAUCAUUAUAUAUGUAUUUUGGUUUACAAAUUUAUUAUAUUUUAUAAAUUUUAUCAUAUUUUCUAACAUUACCUUUAUUUUAUUAUAAAUUAGGUAUUAUUUUAUUAUUCAUUAAAUGUCUAAAAUUUUAAAUAUUUUAAAAAUUAUUAUUAAAUAAUAGUAUGUAUACAUUAUCCUUAUAAUAUUUAUUGUAUUACUCAUGUUUCAUUAUAUUUUAUUUAUAUAUAUUUUAUUACAUAUCAUAUUGUAAUCGCCCAUUUUUGCCCAGCCCAUUUCAGUAUUUAAAAUAAUAAACCCCCAAAAAAUAAAAAUAAAAUAAAGUCCAAGUCCAGUACAAAAUUACAAACAUAUAAUUUGGCCCAAUCGAAAUGGCCCAUUACUUGAAAAGAUUUAAGGUCCAUCUAUAAGCUUGACUCAUAUGGAAAUAUAAUCUUGAAGGAUAUACAAUCUUAGAUAUGAUAUGCAAUCUUGAAGAUAUGAUCUUGUAAUCUUGGAGAUUUAAUUUGUAGAUAUCCUUUAAUCUUAACCGUUGAUGUAAUUGAUCUGUACCGUUGGAUUUGGGGAGGCUCAACUAUAAAUAGGGGCCUCUCCCUUCAUUGUAAAUCACUGGAGUUUUGGGAAGCAAUAAGAAUUCUUGAGAGCAUUCACUCAAAUUUCUCUCCCCCUUACGUUCUUAGUCUCUGUGGUUUGUUCUUAUUUUAUUCUUCGUCUAUCUUAGUUUUUCAACCUUUUUUUUAUUUUAAUUUCUUCAUUUUUCAAAUAUGAAUAUUUAUUCCUAUCCUUUAUACAUUUGAUUAUGUAUUUUAUAUAUUAUAAUAUUUAACUUUUUUAUAUAGUUUAUUUUCAAAUAUAUAUUUUCUAUUAUGAUAUCCUCAAAUUUGAGCAUUCACUCAAAUUUCUCUCCCUCUUAUGUUCUUAUUUCCUACGGUUUGUUUUUAUCUUAUUCUUUGUUCAUCUUCGUUUUUCACCCCUUUUUAUUUUGAUUUAAUCCAUGUUUCCCUGAUUUUUUUAUAUAUUUUAAUUUUUUAAUAAUUUUAGUAUCAUAUCAAACUAUUUCAUUUUUAAUAGUUUUUUUAGUAUUACUCUUAGUAAAUUAUUUUUUAAAAUUUUACUCAAAUCAUUAUUUUAAAAAAUAUAUUUCAUUUAAUUGUCAUAUUUUAUCCAAAAGUUUUUCUAAAAUGAGGCAAUGUUUUUCGUAUUUAGGAAUUCGGGAAAUAGUGCCCUAACAUGCUGGGUUGCGAUUUCCCGUUCGUCUAAAUGCCUAAAGCAUCCUUCUAAAUAGAUUUUGUAAAUCACGAGAUGAUUUCGGUUACGACAGUUUAAGAAUAUCGUGUCCUAUCCUGUUGGAUGUGAUGUUUGUAUUCUUUCGGAGCUAAGGAAUUUCGAUUUUUCAACUUAAAUAAUUCCGGUUUUAAAAAAGGGAUCUUAUUUUUAAAUCCUUUCAAAUUUUAGACAUUAAGACAGAAAUCUAUUUAAUUUGGUACCAAUUUUGGGCGUUGCGAGGGUGCUAAUCCUUCCUCGUACGUAACUGGCUCCCGAACCUGUUUUCUUAAAUUUCGUAGACCAAAACGUUUUAUAAGGUGAUCCAAUCACACCUAAAAAAAGUUGGUGGCGAUUCCCGUUUUCAUUUUUCUUAAAGUCAAUUCCCAUUUUACAAAACUCGAUUUAAAAAUGGUUUCGACAGCUUGAUGACUCCACUGGGGAACAAUAAGAGAGUCAAGCCGUAAAAUUGAUUGAUUUCUGUCCUUUAUCGAAAUUUGAAAACUCGAUUUGAAAACUAUGAUCUUUUUUUUAUGUUUGCUGCAUAUGUUUGUUAUUUUUCUCGCACACAUUGCAUUUGCAUGACCGUUGUGGUCGCACCCUUAAGUGGGAGUGAGAAGCUAAGCUUUCGUGAGGUUUUCACCUCCGCAUGAGUUAGUGGAUUACUUCCGGGAUAUAUCUGUACCUAUGUCUUCGUGAGAUUUUCAUCUCCGCAUGGUCAUAGGGAAAUGUAUCCUCCUAAACCGAACUUGGUCCAUAUGAGCCUAUAAUGGGUGAGGAUCGAGGAAUCUGCUGGUUUAGGUACCCUUGCUUUAGAAUCAAACUCAGAUAGUGAACUUUAAAGAGCUUACCCUAGCGAAGAUAGUGAUAGCCUUUAGUAAGCUACCCUUGUAAGUUCUUGAUUAUCAUUUUCUUUAUAUAUGAUACUGACUUUUUUUUAUUUUGCUGUCAUUGCAUGUCAUUUGGCAUUUAAAGGUGUCGAUUCACGGCUCGAUUUCUAGAUUAAAAAGUUUUGUAAUGAGGAACGAAUACCUUAAUAAAGUGGAAGUCAAUGCUUCUGUUUGUACCUGGUCAGAGAAAACCCAAUUAGAGAAAGGAGAUAGUGUCACCGUGGGGUAUACGUCAGAGUUUUGGGACUUCACUCGUAUCAGUUCAACAUAGAAUAUUUUCAGGAGAUGAAGGACAUUUAGGCCCAAUGGGAUGAUGAGGCUAGACAACUUUUCUUUCAGACUUAUGGAGUUCUUUUUUAUUUGCUAGACAUUAAGGUAGAUAAGCAUCUGUUUCGAGCUAUGGCACAGUUCUAGAACCCUGCUUAUAGUUGCUUUACAUUUGGAGAGGUAGAUGUAGUGCCUACUUUGGAGGAGUAUACAACCUUGCUUCGUUGUCCGAGAAUUCAAGGUAACAAAGCUUAUGUUAGGCCUGCUAGUCUCCCAAUUUUCGUGAGGAAAUUAGUGAUAAUCACAGGGAUGAGUGAGCAAUGGGUUGUAGCUCGAGUGCAGCAAAAGGGCGAUAGUAAGUGCAUUCCGUGGGCCAUUUUGAGGGAUCUGAUAUUGACAAACCCAGAUGUGAAGAAGAAGGUCAACGUUUUGGCCUUAAAUAUUUACGGCUUCGUGAUUUUCCCGAAGGCGAUAAGGCACAUAGAUGAGGCAGUCGUAGAUUUGUUUGAUCGUAUUGGUAAACAGAACUCAUCGGUGCUAGCAAUCCUAGCUGAGACGUUUAGAUCCUUGAAGUACAUGUCGGAGAGCCGGUGAAGUAGAUUCAUUGGAUGCGCACAGUUGUUGUUAGUAUGGUUCCAUAGUCACUUUUGGAAGCUUGAGAAGGUUCCUUGCCGAGUGUUCUUUAAGGGUUAUUCCCCCUUAAAGGAAGCAGCAACUACACCGAGGAGAGAUGAUAUUACAGAAGAAAGGUGGAUGGAUAUUCUUCAAAAUCUUUGAGAGGAGGAAGUUUUGUGGAAAGCACAUUGGAUGACUUCUAAUGAAGUCCUUUAUCGCUGCGACAGUUUUGAUUGGGUACCUCUUUCUGGGAUUUGGGGAGUCGUUGGCUAUGCACCGUUACUCGUCCUAAAGUGAUAUAAAGUGGGGCGGUUCAGAUAAAUGUCAAGAGUUAGCUUUGUUAUUAGAUAGGGUUAAGACUCUGGGCUUACGAGCGAAAGCGUAUUUGUAAUCCGUUUUAUGAAAGGACUUUUGUUCCUUAAAUAACAUUUUCUAAAAUGAAAUUGAAUCGAGAUCGAUACCUUUUUUCAUUCAUACAUUUGCAUUACAUUACAUCGAAGAAAAGAAGGUGUUGAUUCGAAAUUCGAUUCCUAAAUAAAAUAGUUUCUCAUAAGGAAACGAAUUUCUUGAUAAAGUGGAUUAUAGUGCGGUCGUCUGAAUAUAGUCCAAAUAAACACAACGAGAGAAACCUGAUAGUCCAUGGAGGAAUACAUGAUGUAAUUGCCAGAGACUCAAGCCAACAAAGGUUAUCCAAGAGCAUGACGAGAGAAAGCCAGAAGCCCACGAAGGAAUACAUGACUUGAUUUAAUUGCCAACGAAGAUUAUCUAAGAGCCGGCACUUUUUGAUGAGUAUCAUGGAGAUAAGCGAGCAAGAGAUCGAAGCUCAGAUUAAGUAGCAAGGAGCUAGAAAAGGCAUCUUUUAGAGAAUUUACAGGAUUCGACCAUGAAGAAGAGAUCAGCAUUUACUUGGACUAUGAAGGGCAAGACUACAUAUGUAAUCUAUUUUCAUGUAAAGAAAUCUGUUUUCUAGAAAAGUUAUUCUAAUGGAAUUGAAUUCAAGAUCAACAUCUCCUUUUCUUUUGCAUUCAUGCAUUUGCAUUGCAUCACAUCACAUGCAUUUAAAUCCAUAAAAAGACCCUAAUUAAGGUUAAAAAGAGAAAGAAAGAGAGAAGAGGGUCACGGCUGAGCGAAAAGAAGAUGCUCCCUUACAUAUCCUAGACUUUUGUAUCAGGAGGGAUAGCUUACCCGAAGAAGGGGGUGUUUGGAAAUGAAAAUCAUCCCAUCAAUGUCAUACAUGAGGAAGGGACUGAACAAAGAAACCUUGAGGGCGUUCGCCCUUACGAACCGGGAAGUUCUUUAAACAAUUAGACUGUAGAAGAACUUCCUGUAAUCUUUAGGAAUUUUACGGAGUAAUAUUCAGAACACUCUUGUUGCUCUAAAGCCUAGGAGUAAUGAAAUUUCUUUUGAGAAGUGGGCUCAUGUUCAGACAUUUUUAUUUUCAAUAAAACAUACUUUUAUUAUUUAUCCGAGUAAAUAUUCUUUCAUUCUGAUUCUUUUGACCUUUGACAUUCUUUAUAAAUUUUCAUUUCAUGUAAAUAGUCAUUCUUGAAUUCAUUUAUUCCUUGUAUAUUCUUUUGUGUGCCUAUCAUAGAUCCCUAGAUAUCAAUGACACGAGCAAUGAUACUACAGAUUCAGAGUUCCUUUUGAGUUCGAUAUGUGUUUAGAGGAAUCUCAGUACUUUGAAGGUGACAGAAAUUGUGACUUGUUUCUGAAUUUGUUGAAAAUGGUUUUUACCCCAUGAAGUGGUGGUAAGAAAUAUAGCCUUAGAGGAAGGAAAGAUUGUGAAAUUGGAAUUAGCUGAGGAUACAAAACAAGACCUUGUUGAGACUAUUAUGGGAAUUCAAAAAUGUGGUCCAAAGAUGCAUGCAGGAGGAUUUGUAAUUGCCAGGAUAAACAUGAGGUUUUGGGGCACUGUUGGUCUACCAUGGAAAGGGAUCGCAUCAGUUGUACAAUGAAUGCCAAAUUUAAAGGAGUCAAGACUUAUGGGGCAUGUAUGUUAUGGGCCCGAGCUCAUCAAAAGUUUCAAGCUGACAAUGACUCAUCUUUGUGGACGUCAAUUACUCCAUUAAGAAGGGGAGAUAGCUUCAUAUACCAAUAUUACAAAGUCAAAAGUCAUCCAUUUCAAAAAAAAGAAAGAUUAUAUAUAACUGCACAAUGCCAAAAGUUUGCAGUCUUUUCAAAGAUAAUGCGCCAUACCACAGUACAACAAAGGUUGCCAAAAGAAAAGAAAAAGAAGAAAAAACAAAUUAUAGAAGAUGACCGAAACUGGUAAAAAUUGGCAUAAAAACUACCGCCUACUCUCUAUGCUUACGCUGGGGAAAACACCUUCAAUUCCAGUUGUUUCAAAGGUUCCAACUAUCAUCCUUGGAAUGGGUGCAUUGUUUGGCUUUCCUGAGCAGUCUGAUAUGUCGUCAAUAGCUGCGAUGGUUAGCUCCAGGUGGUGGCCAUUGAUUUCCAGCUAUGGGGCAUCAGGCCGUACACAGUCUCUGAAGCUUAAAAUGAUAGAUUCUUUCUUCAAAACCAGUUUUUGACAAAGUGGAUGACGGUAUCAUGAAGGAAGCUCUCUUAGACUUCUAUACAAGUUCAGGGAAGAGAAAACCUGAUCAAAUCAUUAUUUUCAGGGAUGGGGUUAUCGAGUCUCAAUUCAAUCAAGUUUUGAUCAAGUUAUUGAGGCUUGCAAGUUCCUUGACGAGAAGUGGAACCCUAAAGAUUAUGGUUAUUAUUGUACGAAAAACCAUCAUACCAAGUUUUUUUCAGUAGGGAUCUCCUGACAAUGUGCUACAUGGUACUGUCAUUGACAACAAAGUAUGCCAUCCAAAGAACAAUGAUUUUUACCUUGGUACCCAUGCUAGAAUGAUUGGAAUCACGAGGCAGACCCACUAUCAUGUUCUCUUAGACUAGGCUGGGUUUUCGGCUGAUGAUCUAUAAGAGUUUGUUCAUUCUCUAUCCUACAUGUAUCAAAGGAACACCACAGCCAUAUUUUUUGUGGCUUCUAUUUGCUACGCUCAUUUGGCAGCUUCACAGUUGGGGGCAAUUUAUGAAGAUUAGGGGUGCUUUAGAAACAUCAUCGAGUCAUGGUGGGAUGUAUGCUUCGGGAGUAAUCUCUGUACGUCAGCUUUCCAGGUUGAAGGAUAAAGUCAGCAACUUCAUUCUUGUCUACUGAGAAUCAUUGAACCAUCUUUUUGUAGGGUUUGACAAACAACAGGCAGGACUGCUGCUGAGGCAAUCCCUUUCUCAUGGGUUUUUGAAUCAAGAUUUUUCCUCCAAGAUUUGAUGGAGUCAAGAAUUGAAUACCUCUAGUAAAAUUAACUUGAAAGUAUUCAUCCUAAGCAAAUGUACCAAGAAUGGAUGACACAGACUUAUGACAAAGAAAGUUCGUCCAAAAGAAUUUCAUAAAGGAAACCUUGUGCUGAAAAAGAUCCUUCCCAUGCAAAAGGAUGCCGAAUUGGGAAGGGUCAUAUGUUGCAAAGAGAGAUUUCUCUAGAGGUGCACUGAUUUUGAUAAGAAAUGGAUAGGAAGAAUUUAUCUGAUCCAGUGAAUUCAGACUCCGUCAAGGAGUACUUUGUCUGAAGGAGAAGGGAUGUAAUAGCCCAAAAUUGGGUCUAGUUGGAACAGAGGUUUCGGGACCACAAAAUCUGAGAUAAAAAUAAUUAUUUUAUGAUUAUUUUGAGGUCUAUGAUAUGAUUGCAUGAUUGUGUGAAAAUUUUGUGAAGAAAUUCUAUGCAUAAAGUGCUCAAUUUGAAGUUAGGGACUAAAUCGAAUAAGUUGCAAAACUUGCAUUCUAGAAGUUUCUAGUAUGAAAUUGCUUUGAAAUAUUAAUUAGGAGGUCUUAAAUAGCAAUUUGACCAAUUUCUAAGUGAUGGAAAAAAAUUGGACAUGGAUGGAAUUUUUGAAAGUUUAGUAAGGAAGGACGUUUUGGUCAUUUGGUAAUUAAAAGAAAUAAAAAGGGAAAAUAAAGCCAAAAUUUACUCAUCCUUUUCAUGGAGGCCGAAAUUAGCAUGGGGGAAACCAUGGCUAGGGUUUUCAAGCUUUCCAAGCUAAAUAGUAAGUCCGUUCUAACCCCGUUUUUCAAGUUCUUUACGUUUUUGGAAUCCCGGUAAUUUGAUUAAGCUUAUUCUAGCAAUAAUUUAAGCUAGGGUUCAUAUUUGGAAAAAUACCCAUUGGUGAAAUGUGUUUAUUUUGCUGUUUUAUGAUAGAAUAUGAGGUUUUAAAUUAUGUUAGACAACUUGUGCUACUCGGUUUUGAGUGAAAACGAGUAAAAGGGCUUAAUUGGUAAAAAUACCUAAUAGUCAUAAGUAUAUGUUAGAGUGAGAAUUUGAUGUUUCCAUAGAAGGGAAAAGUGAUCAGCAUGUCAUAAAACAUAAGAAUAAGGGAUGAAGUUUAAUUCCCGAGCCUAGGGGCAAAAGUGUAAAUAUGCAAAAGUUUAGGGGCAAAAUUGUAAUUUUUCCAAAGUUUGAGUUAAGGACUGUUUUGAAUAGUACAUUAAUUAAAUAAGUAAAAUAUGAUGUUUUAGAUCCUAAAAAAUGAGAUUUGAACCUAGAAUGAGAGAAAAAUCAAAAAUUGGGAAAGUUGGUAAAAUGAUCGUUUUAGUAUCGAGGUAAGCUCAUAUGUAUAAUAAGCAUUAAUUUAUUCAUGUUUCAAUGUAAAAUUGAUAUAUUUAUUAUAAUUUUCGAGGUGUUGAAAGUAUGUAAGUUGGUAUGAUAAUAAUACAACAAUAAUACUGUAAUUUAUAUUUGAAAGUUAAAUUUAGUGAAUUAAUUGAAUUAUGUUAAAUUAAAUGAUUAUGGUGCCAAGUUUAUGAAUUGAUUUAAAAAUAUGUCUAUGGUACAUCAAGUGCAUUGAAUUAUCAUACAUAAAUGUGAUUUCUAUGGUUAUAGAUAUUAUGGGAAAUUAUAAGUUCAUAUGAUUUUUAAUAAGGCAAUGUGUAAUUUAAUGUUAUUGCCUUGAUAUUAAAUGAGAUGUAAGUUUAUAUGUAAGUAAUACAUCAAUAUUACUUGUAUUAUGAUAUUUUAUAAUAAUAUUGGAAAUAUGUUUGUGGAUAAUUACUUGUUUGGUGACAUUGUUGGAAAAGAGAGAGAAAUCCCGGUUGAACCUUCGGAAAGAUUGGAUGAUACAGAUAGUAUGUAGCUAGGUCACAUGUAUGGUGCUGAGUGCACAUCAUGUGUACAAGAGAGCUACAAGACAUUAUGAUAUAGCUAGGUCACAUGGGUGAUACUAUGUGUACACCAUGUAGACAAGAGAGCUACGGGAUAUAUGUAGCUAGGUCGCAUGCGUGGCUCCAGGUGAAGGACACCAUGUAGACAAAAGAGCUACGAGAUAAAUUGGCUAGGUCACAUGGGUGGUACUGAGUGUUCACCAUGUGUAAAAGAGAGCCGAACUCUAUGAUGGGUGGAGCUAUGUGCUGAAACCACCAAGUAUCGAGGAUUGAUCCGAAGUGUUCAACGGGAGACUUUCUAUGUAUUGCUUUGUGAGUUUUAUGAUGAAUAAGUGCAUGAACUUGGUUAUGUAAAUGAUGUGUUCAUUAAGUGACCAGGAUGUGGUAAGGUUAUAAACAAGUAAGUUAUAUAUGAGGAUGAUUUUAUGGUGACCUCGUGAUCAUGGGCCUAUACUUGUGAUGUAUGAAAUGUGGUGAAAAUGAUUUGUGAUAUGUAUGUUAAAAUGAGGUUAAUACAAAGAAAGUGUGAAAGGGUGAAUUAGCAAUAAAACUGUUUUGGACAGUAGCAGUGAUAUGAUUUUGAAAAAUCACAAAAAAUAGUAGAAAUUGAAUCAGAGACUGAAUGAGAUAUUAAAUUAAAGGUUAAUGAGUCUAUUUUCAUAUAAAAGAAACAAAGCAAGAAAAGGAGUUCUGUACUUUCAUAUAUUUAUGUUUUUGUGAGACUGGUUCAGAAUGAUUACGUGAUCCGCUGUUCUGACUUUGGAAAAUCACAAAAAUUUGGAUAAAAAUAAUUAGAGGCUUAAAUUUAUAUUUUUAAAAUACCUAAUGAGUCUAUUUUCAAUAUAAAUGAACAAGAACAUUAUUUGAUUUCUGUAUUGUGAGAUAAUUAAUUUUUAGUGAAGAGAGGUCAGAACUGUCAGAAUGUGAAACAGGGGAAAUUUUAAUGAAUAAACUGUACUAAUUGGCUAAACAAAAAAUUAUGAAAAUUUUAUGGUGCAAAGAUAUGUGAGUCUAGUUUCAGGAAAAAAUUAUGGAUCUUAAUUUGGAACUCUGUAGCUCGAAUUAUAAAUAAGUAAGUGACUAUGACUUGUGUGGACAGUUUGAUGUGAGCAUUUAUUAGUAAAUUGUGAAAUCGUACUUACAAGAACGCUAUAUACAUUAAGGAUGUGGAAUGGAGAGGAGGAGGAGGAAAAUAAAUAUAUGUGGAAUACAUGGAAACUAUGGUAUAUGAAAUAUUGAUAUAAUGAAAUAAAUGAUAUGUGUUUAUAAGAAAACAGAAAGAGAAUGAUAUGUAUCAUGACAUGUAUAUAUAUAUAUGACUAGUCUCAAUGUAAUGCUUGUAAGGUAUGGAGUUGAAUUAAAAUGUUUUAGGCAAACAUGUUAUUUGCACAUCUGAAUUGUGGUAUUUUAUAAAGAUAUGAUCUAGUUUUAAAUAUGAAUGCUUGAUGAUUAAGCUGAAGAUAUUUGGUAAGAUGAUUAUCUUGGUAUAAAUGUAUAAGUGGUACUAUAAUAAACAAGGUAAAAUGAGUAUGAGAGACACAUGUAUGAUGAUAUACAAAUGCUAUGUUUGUGGUUUAAUUGAGAAUAUUUAGUCAUUAAAUGAAUACCAUGUUAUAUGCUUUUGAUUUUGUAUAAGUGUGUAAGAGAUUAAGGUUGACCAAAGCUUGGAAAAUAGCCUAGGUAUAUUCCACACAGGCAGAGACACGACCAUGUGUCUCAGCCGUGUAUGGAAUAUGACUUUGGGACACGGGCGUGUGGAGUCUUAAAGCAUGAAAUUUUCAAGAUUUUCGUAAGUUCUCGGUUUAGUCCCGAACCCUUUCUAAAGUAUGUUUUCAGCUUCGUAGACUCAAAUAAGGGACUAUGUGUAAGUGAAUGAACGUUUUGAAAUAUGAAUGGAAUUUUAUGGCCCGUAUUUUAGUUUAAUAUUUGUAUGUUUGUCCGGUAAUGCCUCGUACCUUAUCCCGGCCUCAGGUACGGGUAAGGGGUGUUACAAGGGAAGCCAAUGUGAAAACCCCAAAGGGCACUUUGGGACUUCUAUUUCAAAAAAAAAGAAAAAGAAAAGAAAAAAAAAGAAAAAAGAGAAAAAAGAAAAAAGAAAAAUGGAGAGGCCAAGGUGAAAACUCGCAAAGGGCGCCAUGAGACCAAAGGGGUUUUGAGUUGAAAACCCGAAAGGGCAGCUCAAAUUUGGAAAGUCAUGCAGUGACCUUGCUAUACCGGAUUCGACGAGAAGUGAAGUAUGUUACAUAUCGAGGCAUCAACGAAUUACUUUGGAUCUUUUAAACACAUGUUGAACUCAAGAAAGUCUUCAUGAAGCUGGUGUAUAGAUGCUCAAGCGGUGAUAUCUGGGGCAUCUUAUUUCUGUCCUAUUUACUAUCUUUGGAUUCUUUUUCUUCGCAAAGAUAUGUUCUCAGGUUAAUCUUUUUGCAUUCCUUCCAAUAAUUUGUCCAAAUCUAAUUAUCCUCAGGAUCAAUUUAUUUGUCUCCCAUUAUUCAUAAAGCAUUGAAAUAAUGAUAGAUGAACUAAAAUAUCUUCACAAACGAAGUUUUGCAUAUUACUCUGGAAAUUUCUAGAUAAUACAAGAAAUUGAAACAAGACAAUUGUUUAAGGAAUUCUCAUAUGUAUGGGUUGGAGAUACUCGAGAGAUUUUCUUCUUCAGUCCAAAAGGUGGUUGGACGUUUGAAGCAAUAUUGAUCUUAAGAAAGGAUCAUUUCAUAAACAUCUUCAGUGGGUCGUAACAUUUGGGGAAUGGUAUGGUAGACCAAAUUGAUGGAGAAGAUUCGAGGCAUACGAGCAGAGUAUGAUUGAUGUGUCGAGAAGAACGAGGUGGAAAGCUUGAUAGAUGAAUGAGUGAUGACGUCCGAAAUAGAAGUUAUUUUCAUAAACAUUUUGCAUCAUAAUAUGUCUAAUUAGGAGCAUUUGACUCAUUUCGAUCAUGGCAUCUUAAUUAUUUGGCAUAAGCAUAAAUUCCAAGAAAUCAAUUCUACAGGUGGAUUCCCCAGUGGACAAUGUAGCAAGAUUGAUUGAAAAUUACAAAAUUCAGCGCCUUAAUCCCCUAAGCAGUAGGGUAACAGGUUCGCAGAUCUUAUCUCCCUAAACAGUAGCGGAGCAGAUUGAAGACCCGCCUUAAUCCCCUAAGUAGUAGGGUAACAGGCUAAAAUUACAGAUCUAGCGUCUCCAUAUUCGACGGAGAGCAGACACAUAGCAGAUCUAACCUUCAGAUGUUUAUACUGAAGCAGAUCCAAGAUGAUUUGGCAUUCUUGUGUUUACAAGGAGCAAAUCGAAGACAUAGCAGAUCUGACUUUUAGAUGUUUUCACAUCAAAGCAGAUCUAAGAUAACAGAUCUGGCAUCUCCAUUUCGACGGAGAGCAGAUACAUAGCAGAUCUAACCUUCAGAUAUUUAUACUGAAGCAGAUCUAAGAUGAUUUGGCAUUCUUAUGUUUACAAGGAACAAAUCGAAGACAUAGCAGAUUUGACUUUCGGAUGUUCUCACACCAAAGCAGAUCCAAGAUAACAGAUCUGGCAUCUCCAUUUCGACGGAGAGUAGAUUAAUAGCAGAUCUAACCUUUAGAUGAUUUUACUGAAGCAGAUCCAAGAUGAUUUGGCAUCCUUGUGUUCAUAAGGAGCAAAUCGAAGACAUAGCAGAUUUGGCUUUCAUGUGUUUACACUGAAGCAGAUCUAAGAUGAUUUGGCAUCUCUGUAUUGUCAGAAGACAAAUCAAAGAAGUAGAUUUGGCAUCUCUGUGUUCGACGGAGAGCAGAUCGAAGAUAUUAACAUGACAGUCUUGAGUUUGCAAGGAGCAGAUUGAGGACCAUGAAGUCUAAAGCUGAUGAGACUGGGCAAAAUGGGUCUUUUUAUAGUCUUUGCUCUAUUCUCGUUACACGACAAUGAGCAAAGAGGGGCAGCUGUAAUCGCCCAUUUUUGCCCGGCCCAUUUCAGUAUUUAAAAUAAUAAACCCCCAAAAAAUAAAAAUAAAACAAAGUCCAAGUCCAGUACAAAAUUACAAACAUAUAAUUUGGUCCAAUCGGAAUGGCCCAUUACUUGAAAAGAUUUAAGGUCCAUCUAUAAGCUUGACUCAUAUGGAAAUAUAAUCUUUAAGGAUAUGCAAUCUUAGAUAUAAUAUGCAAUCUUAGAUAUGAUACAAUCUUAGAUAUGAUAUGCAAUCUUAGAUAUGAUAUGCAAUCUUGAAGAUAUGAUCUUGUAAUCUUGGAGAUUUAAUUUGUAGAUAUCCUUUAAUCUUAACCGUUGAUGUAAUUGAUCUGUACCGUUGGAUUUGGGGAGGCUCAACUAUAAAUAGAGGCCUCUCCCUUCAUUGUAAGUCACUGGAGUUUUGGGAAGCAAUAAGAAUUCUUGAGAGCAUUCACUCAAAUUUCUCUCCCCCUUACGUUCUUAGUCUCUGUGGCUUGUUCUUAUUUUAUUCUUCGUCUAUCUUAGUUUUUCAACCUUUUUUUUAUUUUAAUUUCUUCAAUUUUCAAAUAUGUAUAUUUAUUCCUAUCCUUUAUACAUUUGAUUAUGUAUUUUAUAUAUUAUAAUAUUUAACCUUUUUAUAUAGUUUAUUUUCAAAUAUAUAUUUUCUAUUAUGAUAUCCUCAAAUUUGAGCAUUCACUCAAUUUUCUCUCCCUCUUAUGUUCUUAUUUCCUACGGUUUGUUUUUAUCUUAUUCUUUGUUCAUCUUCGUUUUUCACCCCUUUUUAUUUUGAUUUAAUCCAUGUUUCCCUGAUUUUUUUAUAUAUUUUAAUUUUUUAAUAAUUUUAGUAUCAUAUCAAACUAUUUCAUUUUUAAUAGUUUUUUUUAGUAUUACUCUUAGUAAAUUAUUUUUUUAAAAUUUUACUCAAAUCAUUAUUUUAAAAAAUAUAUUUCAUUUAAUUUUCAUAUUUUAUCCAAAAGUUUUUCUAAAAUGAGGCAAUGUUUUUCGUAUUUAGGAAUUCGGGAAAUAGUGCCCUAACAUGCUGAGUUGUGAUUUCCCGUUUGUCUAAAUGCCUAAAGUAUCCUUCUAAAUAGAUUUUGUAAAUCACAAGAUGAUUUCGGUUACGAGAGUUUAAGAAUAUCGUGUCCUAUCAUGUUGGAUGUGAUGUUUGUAUUCUUUCGGAGCUAAGGAAUUUUGAUUUUUCAACUUAAAUAAUUCCGGUUUUAAAAAUGGGAUCUUAUUUUUAAAUCCUUUCAAAUUUUUGACAUUAAGACAGAAAUCUAUUCAAUUUGGUACCAAUUUUGGGCAUUGCGAGAGUGCUAAUCCUUCCUCGUACGUAACCGACUCCCGAACCUGUUUUCUUAAAAUUCGUAGACCAAAACGUUUUAUAAGGUGAUCCAAUCACACCUAAAAAGGUUGGUGGCGACUCCCAUUUUUGUUUUUCUUAAAGUCGAUUCCCAUUUUCCAAAACUCGAUUUAAAAAUGGUUUCGACACAUAUAUUAUUAUAUAUUAUUUUCUAUAUAUUAUUCCUUUAUUAUUUAUUUGUAUAUAAAAUUAAAUUUAUAAAUAUUUACAAGAUAAUAUAUAUUAUUACUAUAUUUUUAAUGUUUAGUAUUUUAAAAUUUACUACAAAUAACAUAUAUUUUUAAGAGUAUAUUAAGUUAUUAUAUCAUGUAAUGUGUUAUAUAUAUUUAUUAAUCAUCUCUAAGAAAAUUUACCCUCAUCAUUUAUACUAAAUUUUAAUAUUUUAUUAAAUACUUCAUUUUUUUUAAAAAAAUUUGUAUUCAUUUUCUUAUUUUCAUUUUUGAUUUGUAUGUUCAUAAUUUUAUUUAUUUUAUGUAUCUCAUUAUAUUUAUUCAAUAUUAUUUUAAAAUAGUAAUAAUAUCUCAUCACCUGUUUGUUAUUUUUAUAUCUAUUAAGAAUUGAUUAUUUAUAUUGUUUUAAGCGGUAUUUUCAUAGAAUAUUGUUAUAUAAUAACUAAAUUCAUUGCUUUCUAUGUUAUAUUUUGUAUGAAAUAUUAUUAUGUAUGUAUUCUGUAAUCUAUAUUGUUAUUCUUGUUGUUCUCUAUGAUUAUAGUUGCAUGAAAUGAUAAUGCAUACUAUAAUUUAUGUAGUCAUUCAUCAUUUACUUUAUUAUAUUUGUGUGAAGUAUUAAAUUAUGUAGUUUAUAUUGUUAGUAUUGAUGUCGUAAUAUGUUAAAUGCAUCAUUAUUUUAAAAAACCUUUAUAUUUCAUUCAAUCCAAAAGAUUUUUUUUAAAAAAAAUAAUAAGGCAAUAUUUUUGAUAGUUAGGAAUCCGGGAGAUAGUGCCCUAACAUGCUGGGUUGCGAUUUCCUGUUUGUCUAAAUAUCUAAAAUAUCCUUCUAAACGAGUUUUACAAAUCACAAGAUGAUUUCAGUUACGAAAGUUUAAAAAUAUUGUGUCCAAUCAUGCUGGAUGUGAAGUUUGUACUCUUUUAAAACGAAGGAAUCUUGAUUCUUUUUAACUCAAAGCAUUAUGGUUUUAAGGGAAUCUCAUUUCUAAAUUCUUUCAAACUUCUAACACACAGGUAAAAUUAUUCAAUUUGGUACCAAUUUUGGGCGUUACGAGGGUGCUAAUCCUUCCUCGUACGUAACUGACUCUCGAACCUAUUUUCUCAUAAUUUCGCAGACCAAAACGUUUUAUAAAGUGAUCCAAUCACACUUUAAAAGAUUGGUGGCGACUCCUAUUUUUUGUUUUUUUAAAACCUGUUUUAAAGCGGUUUCGACCGCUUGGCGACUCCGCUGGGGACUUAAGAGAGUCGAGCCAAGAAAUUGAUUAUUUUUUGUCUUAAUGUCGGAAGUUUGGAAAAUUUAAAAUUUGAUUUUGUUUUUACAUGUGUUUGCUGCAUAUGUUUGUUACCUUAUUGCUAUACAUUGCAUUUGCAUGACCGUUGUGGUCACACCAUUAAGUGGGAGUGAGAAGCUAAGCUUUCGUGAGGUUUUCACCUUCGUAUAAGCUAGUGGAUUGCUUCCGGGAUACUGUACCUAUGUCUUUGUGAGAUUUUCAUCUCCGUAUGGCCAUAGGGAAAUGUGUCCCCCUGAACUGAACUUGGUCUAUAUGAGCCUAUAAUGGGUGAAGACCGAGGAAUCUGCUGGUUCAGGUACCCUGGCUUUAGAACUAAAACUCAUAUAGUGAACUUUAAAGAGUUUACCCUAGGAAAGAUAGUGAUAGCCUUUAGUGAGCUACCCUUAUAAGUAUUUGUUUAUCAUUUUUUAUAUAUGAUACUGACUUAUUUUUAUUUUGCUGUCAUUGCAUUUCAUUUAAAGGUGUCGAUUCACGGCUCGAUUUCUUGAUUAGAAAGUUUUGUAAUGAGGAAUGAAUACCUUAAUAAAGUAGAGGACAAUGCUUCUGUCUGUACCUGGUCAGAGAAAACCCAGUUAGAGAAAGGAGAUAGUGUCACCGAAGGGUAUACGUCAGAGUUAUAGGACUUCACUCGUAUUAAUUCGGCACAGAACGAGUUUCAGGAGUUGAGAGACAUUUGGGUCCAAUGGGAUGACGAGGCUAAGCAGCUUUUCUAUCAGAAUUACGGAGACCUUCCCUAUUUGCUGGACAUCAAAGUAGAUAAGCAUUUGUUGUGAGCUAUGGUACAGUUCUGGAACCCUGCUUAUAGUUGCUUUACAUUUGGUGAUGUUGAUCUUGUACCUACUUUGGAGGAGUAUACGACUUUACUGCAUUGCCCAAGGAUUUAGGAUUACAAGGCUUAUGUUAGGCCUGCUAGUCUUCCAACUUUUACGAAGAAGUUGCUAAUGAUUACUGGGAUGAGUGAGCAGUGGGCUGUAGCUCGUGUGCAGCAAAAGGGUGAUAGUAAGUGUGUUUCAUGGGCUGUUUUGAGGGAUUUGAUAUCGACACAUCCAGACGUGAAAAUAAGGGUCGACGUCCUGGCUUUGAGUAUUUAUGGCAUGGUGAUUUUCCCAAAGGCGUUGGGGCAUAUAGAUGAAGCGGUUGCGGAUUUGUUCGGUCGAAUUGGUAAACAGAGCACACCUGUGCCCACAAUCCUAUCUGAGAUGAUAAGAUGUGCAUGUCGAGGAGCUGGUGAAGGAAGGUUCAUUGGAUGUGCAUAGUUGCUGCUGGUUUGGUUUUAUAGCCACUUUUGGAAGCUUGGUAAAGUUCCUUGCUGAGUAUUCUUUGAGGGUUAUUCUCCCUUAAAGGAAGCAGUAGACAUGCCUAGGAGAGAUGACAUUUCAGAAGAGAGGUGGAUAGAUAUUCUUCAGAAUCUUCAAGAGGAAGAUGUUAUGUGGAAGGCUCAUUGGUUGGUUCCUAGUGAAGUCCUUUACCGAUGUGGCGGUUUUGAUUGGGUUCCUUCGCCAGGAAUUUAGGGAGUAGUUGGAUAUACACCAUUGCUUGUUCUAAGGCAAUAUCGAGCAAGGCAGUUCAUACCGGCUACACAGGGUUUAGCUCAGAGUGAUUUCUCUUAUAAACGAGAUCACUACAAGAAGAGGAUGCGAGAGAUUUCUGAGGCUUGGAAGAAGCCUUUCUACAUAAAGAUCUUGACUGAAGGCUCGGUGUCAACCCUUGAGUAUAAAGGUUGGUUUAAUAGGAAAGUCAAUGAUAAUGUCCCUAGGCCAAUUUUGGGAGUGGCUCGAUUAUUAGAGGAGAGCUUACGAGUGAUUCCAUCAGAGUUGGAGGUUAUAAAGAAAGAGUUUGAGAGAAAGAAUUUAUAGGUUGAAAAGAGGAUAGAGAAGCUCGAAGAGGAAAAAAUGUGUUUGAGUCUCGAUGUCGAUGUUCAAAAGAUGGAAGUCGAGAAGGUGAAAAAGGAAAAGAGAAAGAUCGAGGAAGAUCGAGAUGACUUAAAGACGCACUACAAGAAGGCCCAGGUAACAUUGAAAAGAGUCGGAUUAGGGAGAUCUUCAGAGCAGUGGCAACAUGAGAUCCAAGAGGAAAGAGCCAAAGCCGAGUAUUGGGAGAAAAAGUUCCAAGAGAUGCAGUCACGUAAUCAGGCCCUAGAAAAGGAAAAUCAAGGAUUAAAAGUUAAGGUGACAGAGCUUGGACGAUCUCUUCAUCAUUAUCGAAGUCAUAAUUCUGCAGCCGAGUUAAAAGCAAGUCUAAAUAAGAUCGAGGAAAUGAAGUACAAUAUUGGAGGGUUGGAAGCAGCACUACAGGGCUGUGAGCUACGGAUCGAACAGCUCGAAGUAAGAGAAGAACAGUAGAAGGGAGAACUUCACCAUCUUUGGGAUCAAGUGAGAGAUAGAGAUCAUGUCAUGGAAGAGGCCUUAGUUCAGAUUCAAGGGGUUGCUGAACACUUGCAGGAUUUGGCAAUACAAGCUAGAACGCUGAGUAUAAUGUAUGAGUCAUCGUCAGACAGAGGACGAGAGUUAGCAUUGUGAUUAGAUAGGGUUAAAACUCUAGGCCUACGGGUGAAAGUGUAUUUGUAAUCCAUUUUAUAAAAAGAUUUUUGUUCCUUAAAUAACGUUUUCUAAAAUGAAACUGAAUUAGAACCGACAUCUUUUUGCGUUCAUGCAUUUUCAUCUCAUCACAUCAUAUGCAUUCAAGUUUAUAGAAAGACCCUAAUUAGUUAAAUUAUUAGGGAGAAAGAGAGUAAGAGAAAGAAAAUCUGGAAGCAACAUAUCCUUACGGUACACGCGCUAAGUCGAAGAAUAUGGACCAAAGAUUUGAACAGCUACAGAAAGACAUGCAGGAUCAAUUAUAGGAGCAAUUGGAAAAAAUGCAAAAUGCCAUGAGGGAGCAAAUGUUAGAAGCUCAAAGAAACAUGAUGGCUGAGAUGGCUCAACUACUGAGAGCCACUGAUAAGGGAAAGGCCCCCAUGGCAAUCACUGAAGAGGAGAAUGAGGGUCAUCCUCCUGGUUUUGCUCCACCUCACGUACAAACCCAACCUGAGGCAUAUCCCCGAAGGCCGUCUGUCACAAUAAGGCCUCAACAGGGCCAAGUCGAUGCUGGGAUCCCCAUAAAUUUUCCAACUGGCUCAGGAUUCAAUUUGGGUGACAACCCUGCAAAUCCUGUCAUUCCUGACUUAGACAUGGCUGAAAAAGAGGAUUUAAGAACUGAGGCUGCUAGAUAGUUGGAAGAACGCUGCAAAUGGUUGGAGGAAAAAUUCAAGGCUUUAGAGAAUAUUCAUGGGCAUCAUAGAGUUGAUGCCAAAGAUCUAAGCCUGGUCCUAGACUUGGUGCUUCCUCACAAAUUCAAGAUGCCAGAAUUUGAGAAGUACAAUGGGACUACUGGCCCAGAAGCCCACAUUACGAUGUUCUGUAGGAGGAUGACUGGGUAUGUGAAUAACGAUCAACUGUUGAUCCACUGUUCCAAGACAAUUUAAUUGGAGCAGUAGCCAAGUGGUAUAAUCAACUAAGUCGGGCCAGAAUAAGUUCAUGGUGGGAUCUUGCGCAAGCCUUCAUGCAACAGUACAAUCAUGUGACUGACAUGACUCUGGAUAGGAUUACGCUACAAAACAUGGAGAAAAUGCCUAAUGAAAAUUUUAGGCGAUAUGCACAGCGAUGAAGAGAGGUGGCAAUGCAAGUUCAACCAUUGUUGUUAGAGAAUGAGACUACCAUGUUGUUCAUCAAUACUUUAAAGGCUCCAUUCAUCACUCACAUGAUCGGGAGCACCACUAAAAGCUUUGCAGAUAUAGUCAUGGCGGGAGAAAUGAUCGAGAAUGUGAUAAGAGGUGGAAAAAUAGAGGGAGAAGCAACCAAAGAUCGACCCCAAGGAGAAAGGAUGGUGAAGUGAAUAACACAAGCACCUACAAUACAAGGGCAAUCACAGUUGGUCAACCUAAAACAGCUGUGGUUGAGCAACAAAAUUCUCAAAAGAAGGAGUCGGGUACAAGGCAGAAUUCUGAAAGGAUGCAAUUAACACCUAUUCCCGUGACGUAUCGUGAGCUUUAUCAAAGCUUAUACGAUGCACAUGCUAUUUCUCUUUUUCAUCUAAAACCACUGCAGCCCCCAUAUUCCAAAUGGUAUGACACAAACGCCAGAUGCGAAUACCAUGCUGGAAUACCGGGGCAUUCGAUCGAAAAUUGUACUGGUUUCAAGAAGGCCGUAGAGAGGCUUAUUAAGAUGGGGGUAGUGAAGUUCGACAAUACCCCUAACACUGAAAACCCGUUGCCAAAUCAUAACGAUCAAGGAGUGAAUGCCAUUGGUGAAACCAGCGAGAGAAGAAUAAAGGAAAAUGUUGCUGAUGUGAGGAUGCCUAUGAAGGUGAUUUGGGAGGAGAUUGUGAAGAGAGGUAUGUUAACCUCUAAAAAUAAAGGAAGAGAAACAAGGAACUCUGGAGAGUUCAUGAAAUUCAAGAUUGUGAAGAAUUCAAGGCCUUGGUGCAAAACUUUAUAGACAAUAAAGAGCUACAAAUUUUUGAAAGUAGCUCUUGUGAAAAACAAGUAUGUGUGCUAGAGGAUGAACAGAAAGAAACUAGCUGGCCGAGGAUUAUUAUUUCCUUGUUGGGGAAUAAUAAGGUAGGGGUACAAAUGGUGCCUAAGGUCAUUAUCCAUAAACCUACGCCUUUCCCUUAUAAAGAUAGUAAGAGGGUACCAUGGAGUUAUAACUAUAGUGUGAUAGUGUCGGAUGAGGAGAAUAUUGCUAGUACGUAUAAAGAUGUACAAGUUGAGGGUUCCCAUACACGGAGUAGGAAGCGGUAUGAUACGAUGGGCGUCAGAGAAGAGCCCACAAAAACAAAGAAUGUUAGUGCAGAGAAGGAAAAAGAGGUUGAAGUGCCUGUCAAGGAGCUAGUAAAGGAGGAGGAGGCUAAGGAAUUUCUAAAGUUCCUUAAGCAUAACGAGUAUAGCGUCUGCAUAGGCAACUGGCUCGCAUAUCAGUAUUGGCCUUACUUCUGAGUUCUGAAGUGCAUCGGAAGGCAUUGAUGAAGGUGCUCAACGAAACAUAUGUCACCCAUGACAUAUCUGUUAGCAAGCUGGACCAUUUGGUGAACAACAUAAGUGCGGAUAAUUUCAUCUACUUUAAUGAUGAUGAGAUCCUACCGGGGGGCAGGGGGUCAACUAAGGCCUUGCACAUCACAACUCGAUGCAAGGGGUACACACUCCCAAGCGUGCUUGUCGAUAAUGGAUCAGCCUUGAAUGUUCUACCGUUAUUUACAUUCAACAGAUUACCCAUUGAUGAUUCUGACAUGAAGACAUGUCAAAAUAUGGUAAGAGCCUUUGACGGUACAGAAAGGAAGGUGCUGGGAAAGAUUGACAUCCCUUUGGAAAUUGGGCCGAAUAUAUACGAAGUAGACUUCUUGGUGAUGGAUAUCAAGCCUUCCUACAAUUGCUUAUUAGGCAGGCCAUGGAUACAUUCAGCGGGAGCAGUGCCCUCAUCAUUGCACAAGAAAUUAAAGUUAGUGACGAAUGGACGGAUGGUAACCAUCAAUGCGGAGGAGGACAUUAUAGCUACAGUUACUAGCAAAACCCCUUAUGUCGAGAUGGACGAAGAAUCUAUUGAGCGUUCCUUUCGCUCUUUAGAAUUUGUGAAUGCAACCUUCAUUUCAGAAGGGAGUGAGUUACCGGUGCCAAGGAUAGCAAGAGCUACGAGGACGGCUCUACAAAUGAUGGCGGGAAAGGGAGCCUUACCAAGAAAAGGGUUAGGAAAAUACUUGCAAGGAGGGACUCAAAUCCCAGAGCUUAAAGAGAAGAGAGAUCGCUUUGGUCUAGGCUUCAAGCCAGACUAUAAGCAAAGGAGGAAAGAAGUUGAGAAACGCCAAGAGGGAAGAAGGGCGCGCCUUAAUAGAAGAGAAGUGGAGUGGGAGCCGAUGACAUUCCCUCUAAUAUCCCAAACCUUCAUAUCGAGAGGGUUACUCAUAGAAGGAAGUCAUCAGAUUAAUGCUAUACAAUAUAAAGGAUUAAAGCAAGGAAACCUUGAGGGUAUUCACCCUUACGAACCAGAAAGCUCUCUGAACAAUUGGACUGCGGAGGAACUUCCUAUAGUCUUUAGGAAUUUUUUAGAAUAAUUUUCGAAACAUUCUUGUUACUCUAGAGCUUAGGAGUAAUAGGAUUACAUUUGUGAAAUAGGCUUACGAUCAUCUGUUAUUUUUUAAUAAAACAUAACUUUUAUCAAUUUGAACGAGUAUUGUUUCAUUUUUAUCAACCAAUAUUCUGUUAAAUUUUGACAAUUCUUAUUCUUUCAUUCAUAGCACAUAAAUAAUCAUUCUUAAAUUCAUUCAUUCUUUGUAUAUUCUUUAUACUUCAUAGGUCCCUAGAUAUCAAUGACAUGAGCACUGAUAUUACAAAUCCUUAUUUUUCUCGUGAGCAAGACAUGUGUUUAGAAGAAUCUCAGGAUUUUGAAGAUGGUCAGGAUUGUGAUGUAUCUCUGGAUCUAUUGAGGAUGGUAAAAUAAGAGGAGAAACAAAUCAUGCCACAUGAGAAAGAGGCAAUAGAGAAUGUAGCCCUAGAGGAAGGGAAAGAGGUGAAAAUUGGCACACAUAUUACUGAGAACACAAGGCAAGGACUGAUUGAGUUGCUACGUGAGUUUAAGGAUAUCUUUGCAUGGUCCUAUCAAGAUAUGCCAGGGUUAAAUACUGAUAUUGUGGUGCAUCGUCUCCCAAUAAGGCAGGAUUGUAAGCCAGUCCAACAAAAGUUGCGAAGAAUGAGGCCAAAUAUCAUGUUGAAAAUAAGGGACGAAGUCAAGAAGCAAUUUGAUGUAGGAUUCUUACAAGAGGUGAAGUACUCUAAAUGGGUAGCUAACAUUGUACUAGUUCUUAAGAAGGAUGGAAAGGUAUGAAUGUGCGUUGACUACAGAGAUCUGAACAAAGCUAGCCCAAAAGAUAAUUUCCCUCUGCCACACAUAGACACUUUAGUAAACAAUACAGCGGGAUAUUCAUUAUUUUACUUUAUGGAUGGUUUCUCAGGAUAUAAUAAAAUAAAGAUGCAUCCUGAAGACAUGGACAAAACCACCUUCAUAACAUUGUAGGGUACCUUUUGUUACAAGGUAAUGCCUUUUGGGAUGAAGAAUGCAGGGGCAACAUACCAGAGGGCUAUGGUGACCUUAUUUCACGAUAUGAUGCACAAGGAAAUUGAGGUGUAUGUCGAUGAUAUGAUUGCCAAAUCUCGAAUGGAGGAGGAACAUAUUAAAGUUUUAAAGAAACUAUUCUUGAGAUUAAGGAAGUUUCAUUUAAAACUUAAUCUGGCAAAGUGCACUUUCGGAGCUAGGUCAGGGAAAUUAUUAGGCUUUGUGGUCAGUGAAAAAGGAGUAGAAGUUGACUCCGAUAAAGUUAGAGCCAUAAGAGAUUUGCCUCCACCACGUACUCAGAAAGAAGUCUGGGGUUUUCUUGGAAGGUUGAAUUAUAUUGCUUGGUUUAUUUCGAAAUUAACUGAGAAAUGUGAUCCUAUAUUUUGCCUCCUUAGAAAGUACAACCAAGGUACUUGGAAUGAGGAAUGCCAGAAUGCCUUUGAUAAAUUCAAGCAAUACUUGUUAAAUGCUCCAGUACUAUAUCCACCUAGUCUAGAUAAACCCUUAAUUCUGUACUUGUUGGUGUUUAGUUAUUCCAUGGGAUGUGUGCUUGGUCAACAUGAUGAGUCAGGAAGAAAGGAGAGGGAGAUAUAUUACCUCAGUAAGAAAUUUACAGAGUGUGAGAUGAGAUAUUCGCCAAUUGAGAAAUUGUGUUGUGCUUUAAUCUGGAUGACUUGAUGGUUAAGACAGUACAUGCUAUAUCAUACUACUUGGCUUAUUUCAAAACUUUAUCCUUUGAAGUAUAUGAUGGAGUCAAUAGCUUUGAAUGGGAGAAUGACAAGGUGGCAAAUUCUACUUUCAGAGUUUGACACAGUCUAUGUGAGCCAGAAGGCUAUAAAAGGAAGAACGAUAGUAGAAUUUCUGGCUAGUAGAGCUCUAGAAGACUAUGAGCCAUUAAAUUUUGAUUUCCCAAAUAAGGAGUUGAUGUGUGUAGUAACUACAGAGGAUUAUCAUUGGAAGUUGAGCUUUGAUGGGGCAUCCAAUGCAGUGGGAAAUAGAAUUGGGGCAGUCCUGGUAUCCCCAAAUGGCAAUUAUUAUCCAUUCACGUGCAAAUUGGAUUUUGAUUGCACAAACAAUAUGGCCGAGUAUGAAGCGUGCAUCAUGGGACUCCGAGCGGCUAUAGCGCGAGGGAUAAGAACCUUGGAAAUAUGUGGAGACUCUGCGUUGGUAAUUUACCAGCUUAGAGGUGAAUGGGAGACAAGGGAUUCUAAAUUGAUCAAUUAUCGAAAGGUUUUGGGGUUACUUGAGGAGUUUGAUAAAAUCAUUUUCAAUUAUAUCCCACGAGACGAAAACCAGAUGGCAGAUGCUCUAGCAACCUUGGCCUCAAUGAUUAGAGUAAAUAAAGAGGAGGAGAUAAGACCCAUUCAGAUGAGUAUCUUUGAGGCUCCAGCUAGUUGUUGUAAUAUUGAGGAAGAAGAAAAGGAUGAUAACCCUUGGUAUUAAGAUAUAUUGCGAUACGUGAGAGAUCAUAAAUACCCAGAACAGGCAACUGAAAAUGAUAAGCGAACUUUAAGGAGAUUAGCUUGUGAUUACGUUUUGGACGGGAACAUCUUGUACAAAAGAAGAAAAGACCAAGUAUUGUUGAGAUGUGUUGACGCCGUGGAGGCUAAGUUAAUCUUGGAAGAAGUACAUGAGGGUGUUUGUGGGACACACGCUAAUGGUUUCACGAUGGCUAGACAAAUCAUGAGGUUUGGAUAUUAUUGGUCUACUAUGGAAGGGGAUUGUAUCAACUACGCCAAGAAAUGCCAUAAAUGUCAGAUUUAUGGAGACAAGAUUCACGUACCCCCUUCACCUCUACAUGUUAUGACUUCUCCAUGGCCUUUUUCUAUGUGGGGCAUGGAUGUCAUUGGGCCGAUAUCAACAAAAGCCUCAAAUGGACAUCGCUUUAUUUUCGUGGUCAUUGAUUACUUCACGAAGUGGGUAGAGGCUGCUUCUUAUGCAAAUGUUACUAAGUCGGCUGUAAGUCGAUUCUUGAAGAAAGAGAUCAUUUACCGGUAUGGGAUGCCUGAAAGGAUCAUAUUAGACAAUGCAUUGAACUUGAACAACAAAAUGAUAGCAAAAGUUUGUAGUCAGUUUAAGAUUAAGCAUCAUAAUUCAUCUCCAUAUCGCCCAAAGAUGAAUGGGGCAGUGGAAGCUGCUAACAAAAACAUCAAGAAGAUAGUGGGGAAAAUGACUGAAACUUAUAGAGAUUGGCAUGAGAAGUUACUGUUUGCACUCUUAGCCUAUCGAACGUCUAUCAGAACUUUUACUAGGGUAACUCUUUUCUCGCUAGUUUAUGGGAUGGAGGCAGUAUUACCCAUUGAAGUUGAAAUACCUUCUCUUCGAAUUAGGCAGAGUGGAUUCAAUCGCGGUAUGACCAAUCGAACUUGAUUGAAGAGAAGAGGCUAAAAGCUAUUCGCCAUGGUCAGAUGUAUCAAAAGCGAAUGAUGCGAGCUUAUGAUAAGAAAGUACGUCCAAGAGAAUUCCAUAAAGGGGAUUUUGUAUUAAAAAAGAUCCUCCCCAUUCAGAAGGACUUUAGAGGAAAAUGGAUGUCAAAUUGGGAAGGGUCGUAUGUUGUGAAGAAGGCUUUCUUUGGAGGUGCAUUGAUCUUGACAGAAAUGGAUGGGAAGAGUUUACCUAACCUAGUAAAUUCAGACUCAGUCAAAAAGUACUUUGUCUAAAGGAGAGGAGAAUCCAGGGUGAAAACCCGCAAAGGGCGCCUUGAGUUUUCGAAAAAAAAAAGAAGAAAAAAUGGAGAGGCCAAGGUGAAAACUCGCAAAGGGCGCCUUUUGACCAAAGGGUUUUUGAGUUGAAAACCCGAAAGGGCAGCUCAAAUUUUGAAGAACACACGGUAAUCUUGCUAUAUGUGAUUCAGUAAAGAAUGAAGCGCGUUGCAUAUCGGGGCAUCAACGAAGUACUUUGAUCUUUAAACACAUGUUGAACUUAAGGAAGUCUUCAUAGAGCUGGUGUAUAGAUACUCAAGCAGCGAUAUCUAGAGUAUCUAACUUUUAUCUUGUUUGCUAUCUUUAGAUUCUAUUUCUUCUUAAAGAUAGGCUUUCAGAUUAAUUCCCUUUGUAUUUUUGACAAAUUCAUUCAAAUCUAAUUAGUCUCAAGAUUAAAUUCAUCUUCCAUUAUUCUUAAAGUGUGUCGUAUUAAAUAAUGAUAGAUGAACUAAAUAAUUUUCACAAAUGAAGUUUGCUCAUUACUCUAGAAGUUUCUAGAUAAUACAAGAAACUAAAACGGAACAAUUGUUUGAGGAAUUCACGUAAGUGAAGUUCGAAAGAACUCAAGGGAAUUCUUUCUUUAGUCCAAAAUGAUGAUUGGACAAAUCAAACAAUCUGAUCCUAAGAGAGGAUCAUCUUACAAACAUUUUUGAUGGAUCAUAGCAUUUGAAGAAUGGCACGAACCCACAGGCUGAGUAAGAAUGAUAUUUUGAGAGAAAUAAGGAUGAGCUUUGACGAAGGAAGGAGUAGUGACGUCUGGAAUAGGGGUCAUAUUCAUAAACAUUAUAACAUGUUUAAUUAGGAGCAUUUGACUCAUUUCGAUCAUAGCAUCCUAAUCAUUAGACAUGAACUCAUACACAUUAUGCAGGUCAUGUCCUUCAAGGGACAAUGAAGAUUGAUGCGCCUUAACCCCCUAAGCAGUAGGGUAAUAGGCUAAAGCAUAGAAGAUCUGACCUUCAAGUGUUUACGCUGAAGCAGAUCCAAGAUGAUUUGGCAUCUCUGUAUUGUUAGAGAGCAAAUUGAAGAAACAGAUUUGGCAUCUCUGUAUUCAACAGAGAGCAGAUCGAAGACAUAGCAGAUCUAACUUUCAGAUGUUUCCAUAUCGAAGUAGAUCCAAGAUGAUUUGGCGUCCUUACGUUUACAAGGAGCAGAUCAAAGACAUAGCAGAUUUGGCUUUCACGUGUUUACGCUGAAGCAGAUCUAAGAUGAUUUGGCGUCUCUGUAUUGUCAGAGAGCAGAUCGAAGAUAGCAAAUUUGGCAUCUCUGUAUUGUCAGAGAGCAAAUUGAAGACAUAGCAGAUUUGGCUUUCACGUGUUUACGUUGAAGCAGAUCUAAGAUGAUUUGGCGUCUCUGUAUUGUCAGAGAGUAGAUCGAAAAUAGCAGAUUUGGCGUCUCUGUAUUGGCAGAGAGCAGAUAAAAAAUAACAGAUUUGGUAUUCCUAAGUUUUCAAGAAGCAGGUGAAAGAUAGCCAAUUUGACACUCCUAAAGAUGUCAGAAUACCUUUGAGGAAGAUGAGGAUCAAGAUUUUGAGACUUGGCCAGACCAGGCAAAAUGGGUCCUUUUAUAGUCUUUGCUCUAUUACCGUUAUACGACAAUGAGCAAAGAGGGGCAGCUGUAGUAGCCCAUUUCUGCCCGGGCCUUAAAACCAAAAAAUAAAUAAAUAAAUGUUUAUUUUUUACAGAACCCAAAAUACAAACCCACUAACCACUGCCCAAAAAUUAAAACCCAAAAUCAAACCCAAAAAUUCUACUCGUGAACUAUAACCCAAAUACCCGUUGCAUCUAGACCCAAAACAUAUAAGGCCCAAAAGGCCCAAAUUGUUAAAUGAAUACAGAAAGACCUAGGGUUUCAGAAACCCUAGGCGCCGCAAACGGAAGGUUCCAGAAGCUAAACACCGCAAUCAAUGCGUCGGUUCGUCUCGCUUCGCUCCAGCUACCCACCAUCAGUGCCGUGAUUCCAGGCCAUGAUUCCAGGCUUCGAAUCAUGCCGUGGUCUACGCCCGAGUCAACGUCGGUGUUCGUUGUCGCUGAAUCUCCUCGAUCACCUGCAAAAAAUGGAAAGAAACGAUAGAGACGAAACAAAUAUGGCAAGAAAUAACUUUAAAACGUGUAAAAUACUAUGUACAGUGGCUAUAAAAGCCUGAAUCAGAACAGUGUACAGGACGGUUUUUUGGUAAAAAAUACACAUAUACAAUAAAAUAUCAGCGUUUUAUCAAAGAGACAGAGGUGAUAUAUCUUUACUUUUAUGUUUUUUUUCUCUAAAAUAACAUGCAAGUAUUAUUAAAAUAAGUCAGGAUAGAGUUUUAUCGUUGAAAUCGCGUCGUGGCAUCAAGACUUUUCGAAUUCUGGCCGCCGUACAUGGCGGCGUUGACGGUGGCGAGUGGGCGCCUGAGAACGGAGGCUUGAUAGAACCUCGAAGCCGGCCCCAGAUCCUCUUUCAGAGGAUUUAUUUCCUUUUUUUUUCAAAACCGGGCUAAAAUGAUUUUAAAACUGAAACCGGGGCUUAUAUAACCUUACAAAAAUAGUGUCGUUUUGCUUAAUUCAAUAAGCACUAAAAUAGCACCGUAUUAGGUAGAGGAUCCGCGUAUUGACCCGAUUACUUGGGGAGAAUCCGCGUUUUUUUGUAAAUUGGGAUAAUUUCCCAAUUGGUCCUUCCGUUUUUUUAUAUUUUUAAUUUAACCCUAAUAUUUUAAUUUUGAUUCAAUUUGGUCCUCACAGUGGCUUUAAAACCGAGUUCAUGGAAACGGUGUCAUUUUGGGAUUAGGGCUAAAUUGCCCAGUGAGUCCCUCUGGUUUAGCGAGUCUUUUAAAUUGGCCUAAAAUUUUAAAUUUAUUUAUAAUUAACCCUAAGAUUUUAAAAUUAAAUUAAAUUUAAGUUUUGUUAUAUAAAUUCAAUAUAUUUUAAAUAUUAUAUAUUCUUUAUAUUAUUUUAUUUAUAUUAUUUAUAAAUUUUAGUAUAUGUUAUUAUAUAUUUUUAUAUUAUAUAUUAAUUAUUUUAUUAUAUUUUUGUAUGUAAAUUUACGUAAUCAAUCAUUCUUAUUAUUUAUAUUUCAUUAUUUAUAUAUUUUAUAUCAUUAUAUAUGUAUUUUGGUAUACAAAUUUAUUAUAUUUAUAAAUUUAUCAUAUUUCUAACAUUACCUUAUUUUAUUAUAAAUUAGGUAUUAUUUUAUUAUUCAUUAAAUGUCUAAAAUUUUAAUAUUUAAAAAUUAUUAUUAAAUAAUAGUAUGUAUACAUAUCCUUAUAAUAUUUAUUGUAUUACUCAUGUUUCAUUAUAUUUUAGUUAUAUAUAUUUGAUUACAUAUCAUAUAUUAUUAUAUAUUAUUUUCUAUAUAUUAUUCCUUUAUUAUUUAUUUGUAUAUAAAUUUAAAUUUAUAAAUAUUUACAAGAUAAUAUAUAUCAUUAUUAUAUUUUAAUUUGUAGUAUUUUAAAAUUUACUACAAAUAACAUAUAUUUUUAAGAGUCAUAUUAAGUUAUUAGAUCAUGUAAUGUGUUAUAUAUAUAUUAAUCAUCUCUAAGAAAAUUUUCCCUCAUCAUUUAUACUAAAUUUUAAUAUUUUAUUAAAUACUUCAUUUUUUUUUAAAAUUUUUUGUAUUCAUUUUCUUAUUUUCAUUUUUGAUUUGUAUGUUCAUAAUUUUAUUUAUUUUAUGUAUCUCAUUAUAUUUAUUCAAUAUUAUUUUAAAAUAGUAAUAAUAUCUCAUCACCUGUUUGUUAUUUUUAUAUCUAUUAAGAAUUGAUUAUUUAUAUUGUUUUAAGCGGUAUUUUCAUAGAAUAUUGUUAUAUAAUAACUAAAUUCAUUGCUUUCUAUGUUAUAUUUUGUAUGAAAUAUUAUUAUAUAUGUAUUCUGUAAUCUAUAUUGUUAUUCUUGUUGUUCUCUAUGAUUAUAGUUGCAUGAAAUGAUAAUGUAUACCAUAAUUUAUGUCAUCAUUCAUCAUUUACUUUAUUAUAUUUGUGUGAAGUAUUAAAGUAUGUAGUUUAUAUUGUUAGUAUUGAUGUCGUAAUAUGUUAAAUGCAUCAUUAUUUUAAAAAACCUUUAUAUUUCAUUCAAUCCAAAAGAUUUUUAAAAAAAUAAUAAUAAUAAGGCAAUGUUUUUGAUAGUUAGGAAUCCGGGAGAUAGUGUCCUAACAUGCUGGGUUGCGAUUUCCCGUUUGUCUAAAUAUCUAAAAUAUCCUUCUAAACGAGUUUUACAAAUCAUAAGAUGAUUUCAGUUACGAAAGUUUAAAAAUAUUGUGUCCAAUCAUGCUGGAUGUGAUGUUUGUACUCUUUUAAAACGACGGAAUCUUGAUUCUUUUUAAUUCAAAACAUUACGGUUUUAAGGGAAUCUCAUUUCUAAAUUCUUUCAAACUUCUGACACAAAGGUAAAAUUAUUCAAUUUGGUACCAAUUUUGGGCGUUACAAGGGUGCAAAUCCUUCCUCAUACGUAACCGACUCCCGAACCUAUUUUCUCAUAAUUUCGUAGACCAAAACGUUUUAUAAAGUGAUCUAAUCACACUUUAAAAGAUUGGUGGCGACUCCCAUUUUCAUUUUUUUUAAAACCCGUUUUAAAGCGGUUUCGACACUCACGUCUCCUAGCGUCGAUAUAGCUGGCUCCCCACAUACUUGCUCUAGAAAGCCAUCAUAAACAGAUCUCAAGUCAACCGGUUGGGCUGAGUGCCAUCCUUAACCAUCAGCUACCACUAGUACGCUUCAUCGCGAAGCAGUGAAACAGCCCCCUUGAGCUUCUGCUCAGCAGAAAAGUCCAGAUCAUCCAUAAUACACUUAGUGGCCUCCAUCCAGUACUCGACCACAUUAGGAGCAACUCCACCGAUGCCCCUAAAUACCUCAGCCUCAUUGGACCGGAGUCGUUCCGUAACCGACCCACGGCCCCAACGACCCUCUCUAGAAUCUGUAGCAUGGCUUGGGACAGGGCGUCGUCCCUAACCGCACGAUCAUGAGACCUAGUCCCAGAUCCAGUCUCAGUAACAGGGGACACCGAUGUCUCACUAGUGUCCAGAUUCAGAAUCGUAUCAGAUGCGAAAGACUCAGCUUGAGCCCCUCUACGGCCCCUACCACAGCAUCUAGUACCCCAUCCACGAGUACCAUGUGAACUCAUCGUAAUUUCAAAUUAAUCUGUAUUAAAAAAUUUAUGCAAAUCAGUUUACAGUUUCGAUAUUUGUUAACAGAUAUUCUAUGCAGUAAAGUUAUCAGAGUAUUCAGAGUCUGUUAUCGCAAGUCGAAGUUUACUACGACUUUCAGCUUACACUACCUAGAGUGUUUCAAUAAAGUAUACUACCUAUAGUAGUUUCAUAACAUACAUUAGUGUUUCAAACAGAUCCAAAUAGUAUAUUCUAAGCAUGCUUUCAGACAAUUCUAAACAGAGUUUUAAAAACUUACAGGAUCGGCGUCAGAGACUCGGUGUACCACGGUUUAUCAAAAAUAUUUCAGAUCAUUUUGCAAAUCAUUUCUUAAAAACCAAUUUUAAAACCUAAUCCACAAUCGAUUUUGCAACUUGGCUCUGAUACCACUAAAUAUAACACCCAAAACCCGACCUAAACGUUACGGCCGAAUCUAGCGAUGUCAUAUGAGUGUUUUUAAACAAAUCGUAUCAAGUCAUAAAACUGUUCCAAUUAUUAUCUUUUACUUAGUCGGAAAAUCGUGUAAUGGUCGAGUUGCUUUGAAAACAUUUCUUUAUCGCGGAAGCUUUUGAAAACCAUUUAUUCUGAUUAUUUAAGAAAUUGUUUCUAUUUACAAAAACUUUUAGUUAAGUUUAAUAAAAAACCAUGAUUUGGCGUUGUAGUUCAUAUUCCAAAAUCACUGUUUAAAAACCCAGAUUUAAAACCAAAGUCCAAGUCCAAAAUUACAUCAAUAUUCCCGAAAAUAUUAAAUAAGCAAUAGUAGAAAGUUCAUAAACCAAAACAUAUGUGGUUGUGGUCACCGUCGAGUCCUCCGCUGCAUCGAUCCACCUACUGCUGGGGAUUACCUGAACAGAUAAACAAAUAAAGGGUGAGUUUUCACAAACUCAGUGUGUACAUCCCCAUAGUUUAGCAUGCAUAAUCAAAUAUCAGGAUACAAUCAUAAUCCGGGCCUAAGCCUUUUACAGAAUUGGUGGGGCCCUUGACUCGCUCAGAAACAGAAUCAAAUACAGUCUUAGGGCUUCAGCCCAUCUCAGAUAUAACAUGCAUAUCAGAUCAGAAUAUCAGAAACAUGCCCACCAACCCUGCACACCAACUCCGUCCAACCGAACACACCAUGUAAGGAUAAAAUCGACCCACCUAUCUCUACACACUAAAUAUGGGGAUAAAAUGAACCCAUCCAACACUACACACCAUAGAGUACCGUAAUACAAUACAUAUCAUAAAUACGCAGCUUAGCUGCCAAAUAACGGGCUUAUGAAGCCUAUCAAUACUUCUUUCACUUCGUCAAACCCACUCCGAUGCAAUGCAUCAUAUAAGAAUGACAUGUUAUAAUGCAGAUUAACAGAUAUAUACUCAUAAUCAGAACAGAACAUAUAUAUGUAUAUAUACAAACCAAGUAUAGCAUGCUAUCUCCCGCAUCAUAAUAUCGUAUCACAGAAUAGGGGUCUAAGUAAUGCUUACCGACCCUACGUCAAGUUACAGUCGUCUUGGGCAACCUGUGCAACCUUAUAGUACAUUUUAGAAAAAUGGGCUCACACACCUAUAUGGCCUGCCAGUGUAGGCCCACAAGGCCUAAAUUGGCCUUUCCAAUGUGAAUCACACAGCCUGGCCUAAAUUCCUACACGCCCAUAUAGUUCACCUGUGUGGCCCACACGGCGCAAUUGGCCGAGCCCGUGUCUCGUACAUGGUCUACCAGCCUUUACACAAUUGUGUCCAUCGCUCCCGUGUCGCGUGUGCACGGCCUGGUUCGUCGACCACACGCUUGUGUACUUCCACACGGCCUACCACACAGGUGACCACACGCCCGUGUGGCAUCGACAGAAUACUUUUCAGCUUUCAUCAAAUCCCAUUUUUAGUGCGUUCGGAGUACACCCCUAGUAUCGAUUCGAAGCACAAACACUCCUGAGCACUCCAGAACCUAUAUUCGAUAAUAGAUUAUCCAGUUUCGGUCUCUUAAUCCGAAUUGUUGUGACAAAUAUUCCCAAAACUUACCGAUACCUUUACCUUGAACACCGCACGAUCUAACCACACAAUGGCACUAAGGCAGUUCUUUACUCCCAAUUUUUCGCUGUCAAAACACAUUACACAACCCUCCGACCAGACAAUUAGAAAUCAAACUACGAAGUACAAAGAGUGGUUACCAAAAAGGGCUGAAAUAUCAACCAGGACCCCGAAUCGCAGAAGCGAACGAACAAUAAAGGAAACAAUACCGAUUGAAAUAAAAAACAACAAGAAAAUGAAGAAUAGGUGUUGCCAUCAGAUUUUUGAGAAGAAGAGAGAGAGUGCCAAAAUUUCACAAAAAAAUCAGAAUAGGAGAAAUUCUGAUAAGUUCCCCUGUUAUCUCCUCAAAUCUCUCACCACUAUCCCACUAGCAGACUUUUAGUCUGACUGAAACUCUCUCGGUCUAACGAGUAAAAAUAAACUCCCUCGCUCGCGUAGGGAUUCAAACACAAGACAUCCAGUAAACUUAACGCUUCACUUAACCACCAAACCAGCAACCCAUUGUGAUAUGGUUUUGCAAUUAAUUAAACUUAAGCCUACUGAGUAAGGUUAAGGCUUUAUUUAAGUAAAAACCAAAAUUUUUCCCAAGCUAGGACUUGAACUUAGGGCCUCACACACACGCCUAAAACACAUAACCAGUAAAGCAGAUACACAUUUAUGUCAUAUUCUAACAGAAUAAAAAACAUGAAUUUUUGGGGCGUUACAAGAACAUAGUCAAGGGAGAACCGUAUAUUCUUAAAGGAUAAUGUUAUAUGUUUAGCUCUCUCUAUAACAAUAACAACAUUUCAAUGUAACAUUCAACUUUGUUGCAAAAUCAAAAUUUUUAAGUAUGUUUUACUCACUAUAUUAGCUUUUCAUCUAUUACAAUAACUAUUAAAUAUGGAGUAUACUCUUUACUUAAUUAGUUUCCUAUAGCAACCUUUUGUCUAAAAUUUUAGUAAAAUUAGUUAUAUUACUAAGUGAAAUAAAAAUAAUAAAUUCUAGUUAAAAUAUUAUUUCAAUAAAUUGUUUAAAUUUUAUAUAAAAAUAUAUUAUUCAUAUUCUAUUAAAUGGAAAAUAAUUUUUAAUAAAUAGGCUUACAUUUGUAAAUUUUAUAAAGAUACGAUUAAAAUCUCACUAAUCAAGAUUAAUAUUAAUAUAUUAUAGUUUUUUAAAUUAUUUUUUAAAAAAUUCAAAUAUGAUCUAAAUCUCAAAUGUUAUUAUAGGUGUACAACAUUCAUUUCUCUAUAACAUCCAAAAUUUUGGCAGUCAAAUAAAACUAUUAUAGAGAGGCUUGACUAUAUAUUAUUUAGAAUUUACAAAUGGGUCACUAUUGAUACGAGAUUGAGGUUGUUGGAUAAGACUCUAAAUCAUAACAUAAUAAAUUAUAUUAAAUUCUUGUCUUUGUUUUUUUGAUCAUAUUAUAUUAACAUGGUAGAAAAAUCUAAGAAAUUUAAACAAUAUCUAGGCCAUCCUUCGAUUUCUAAUGCGUAAGUAAGCCUAAAGUCACCAAGAAUUAUGAGAGCAGUGAUUAAAACUUUCGAUGAGCACUUAGAUGAUAUAGAUUCAAACUUUGACAUUUUCUUCCCUUUCUCGAUAUUUUAUUGACAAAAGGAAAAUAAAAUGUAAGCCUAAUGUCAUUCUAAUGUAUUAUUCUUUGUUUUCCUCCCAUGAUUAAUAUUAUUACUCGUGAUGAAAAUAGAGUAGAUGGUAGAAGAAUCUGAAAAUUCUUGGGAAGAAUUUGAAAUUUCUAAGGAAGAAUCUGAAAAUUCUGAGGAAGAUCUAAGCAAUCCUUGUAAGAAAAAAAGGAGACAUGGAACAUGGGAAGGGAACUAGGUGUCGUGUCAAUGGAUAAUGACAAGAAAAUUUUGGGGGAAAAUCGUGGAGAUCUCGAGUCAGAAAACAACCUAAUUAGCUUAUCGGAGGUGACUAGAAGGUAUUUGUUUUGGCUACAAAUUAAAUGUCUUUAUAUUAAUCUUGUAGUUUCAUUUUUUGUUGGUUCUUUGGAAUUGGAAGAUGUUCAUAUGAAUUGGAGAUGGGUAUAGAGAUUAUGUGAAUAUAAAUAUUGGGGUUGAUUUAGGAUUGCUUUUGGUUUUGAGUGUGAUAUUUUAAUAAUGUUUAUUCUAUUUCAUGGUUUUACUAUUGGUUGUGUGUGCAAGUAUAGUCUUGUGGGAAGGGAGGUAUACUGGUGUUUUAUGUAUGUGACUUUACACACAAUAACCUAAACAAAGCCCAUACGUACGUACGUACAUACAUGCAUAAAUUUGUAUCUUUUAGUAGAGCAAAAAAUUGAAGGUUUUUCUUACUUUCAAUAAGGAACGUUCUUCCUUCAUCUCAUAUUUAGAAGUGAAAAGGAUUUUUCUAGUUCUUUCCUAAUUAUCUGACUUAAGCUUUGUUUGUUAGAGUGGGAAAAAAUAAGAAGAUGGGUAAUUAAAAGAGGAUAAAAAAUAUAAUUCUUCUUUCCUUAGGUAUGCUUUGUAGGAGAGAUAGAAAAAUUGAAUAAAAAAGAAGUAAUUUUCUUUCAAUUUAUUGCUUGAUAGAGUUGAAAAAUGAGAGGAAAGAAUUUUUUUUUUUUAAAAUGCAUAAUUUUAACCUAACAUGCUUAGGCUUCUCAUUUUCUCUCUUAUCAUUUCAAUUUGGAAUGAUUUAGUUAAUGCUUUAUGAUGGAAAAAAGUCUAUCUCUCAUAUUUUCUUUCCUCAUUUUAUUCUUUAUCAAGCACAUUCAAAAUUUAUUUUCUUUCCAUUUUUCUAUCCCCUUAUAUUCUUUAUAUAUAUAUGCAGAAUGAUGUAUUUAUAGUAUAUGCAUUUUGAGUAUACUAUGAUUGCAAUGAGCUUUCCUCAUUAUAGUAGUACAGGUUGUUUGAUAUAAAAUAAUGGUAAUCCUUUUAUCAUCUCAUCAUCCUGUCCUAAAUAUAUGCAUAUGUUUAAUUACAAAAGGUAAGUCCUGCAAAACUAUUCUAUCAGUAAAAGUUUAAUUAUGUUGCAUUUGAUGAACAUGAAAAUGGUCACUAAUUGUUUUGUUUAGGCUUUUAUAUUUACAUAAUAUAUAACUAAUGAUCGCUUCUCAUGUUUUUGAUCAACCUUUGAAGUGAUAACAUAUGUACUACUCUAUUUUUAGUGGUUCAAAGUAUAGUGUCAAAUGAAAAUGGUGAUUGAAAUUAAGGAUUACACAACAUAUCUAUUCAUAAAAUGAAGGACAAUGAUAAAUUUCAGAGAUUUUAAAAUAGCUCUUCGGCUCAAAUGUUUCAAGUGCUACAUGAUUCUUUCAUAGAACCUGAGUUACUGUAAAGUCCUGACUAAUUUAAUUUUGUUUAUGUGAAUGUUGUCAUAAAUAUGUAUCUAUUUUAGUGGUUAAGUAUUUUGGGUGUGUAUUUGAGGUAUUGGGUUUAAUCCUACUUUAGGAAAUUUUUGUUAUUUUUGAUCCUAGCCUAUCCCUUGGUGGUUUGGCUUAUAUUCUAUUGUUAGUCAAAUUAUAUUUGAAUGAGCCUCUUGAUUCGAGUGAUAAAGUGUUAGUUUGCCCUAAGGUCUUGUGUUUGAAUCCCCACACGAGUGUGAAUGUUAAUUUUUGCUUCGGUUGUGUGAUAAAGGUUCAGUGGAAGUGAAAUUCUGAGUUAGUUGGGUUGUUAAUGGGUUAGUGGGGAGUUGAGAGUUAGUAGGAUUUUAGUUCAAAUUAAAUACUUUUAAUUUUAAUUUAAUUUAUUUUUUCAUUUUCUUGAAAUUUCCCCUUAUUCUAACUUUUUUUCUUUCUUCCCUUUUUUGUGCUCUAUUGAUUUUCUUUCUUUUUCUCCUUUGAUUCUGUCAUAAUUCUUUAAUUAUAUUGCUCUGCUUUGAAUUCGCCGUGUAGAACCUAUAUUUUGCCCGGGCUUAUAGGAAAUAAAAUUAAACAAUCCAUUUAAAGUCCUUUUACAGAACCCAAAUAACAAACCCACUAACCACAGCCCAAAAAUUAAAACCCAAAAUUAAACCUAAAAAUUCUACCCGAAUACCCAUUACACCCAUACCUAAAUUCACAACCCGAAUCAGCCCAAAAUACCCUUUUGAUCCAACAAACAAACACAGCCCAGCAGGCCCAACUAACUUAAGGAGUUUCAGCUUCUGAGAAACCCUAGCUAGGGUUCGCGCCGUAAGCUUCCAGCCGACAUCAACCUCAUGUUGCGCCGCAAUCAAAGGCCUGAAUCAGCAUGCCCUCACCUCCGUCGCAAUCAUCGUGUAUAAACCUGCAAAAGGAAGGAAAAUGGCACAUAAUCGAAACUAAUAUGGCAAGGAAUAAAACCAGAUUUCGUAACAUUUAUUUUUAAAUUCCCAGUGGCUAUAAAAGGCCCAAAUCAGAACGAUGUAAGAGAGUUUUUUUGGGGAUAUAUACGGAUAUAUUAACAGAAAUAAAAAACACAAGCAGUUUUCAUACCAAAGAGCAAAGGUGAUUUAUUUGCUCUAUUUCCUUCUUUAUAUUUUUUUUUGCAUGUAAAUAAUGUUAGAAACGAAUAUAAGGGUUACCUGUUGAUUCGUGAGAGAAAAAGAAAAUUUUAAAGCCCUAACCGCCGGGCACGGUGGUUCAUACGGUGGCGCGUGAAGCGCGUAUUGCCGAAGGCGGUGGUGCUCCGAGACGAGCCAGGACGGCCACUGGCCGGAGCUCUGAGAGAAUUUUAGGGCUCUCUCUCUUUUUUUUUUUUUUCUGUUGAAUGUUUAAAUUCAAUGUUUAAGGUUUUUUUUACUUUUAUAACAUUAGUAAAACGACGCUAUUUUAGCUUAAUUCAAUAAGCCUAAAACGACGUCGUUUCAAAGCAUUAGGAUCCGCGCGUUGACCCGUUUACCCGGGGAGGAUCCGUGCAUUUUUAAUAAAAGGGCUAAUUACCCAAUCGACCCUUUUGUAUUUUCAAUAUUUAUAAUUUCAUUUUAUUUUUAUUAAAAUCUAACCCUAACCUUUUAUUUCUAUUUCAAUUUAGUCCUAAUAGCUCUUAAAGGGUUAAUUUCGGGAACGAUGUCGUUUUUGGAACUAGGGUUAAUUGCCCAGUAAGUCCCUCUGGGUUAACGCGCAUUUCAAUUUAGCCCAAUUUUAUUUAUUUAUUUAUAAUUAAUCCUAAUUUUUUUAAAUUAAAUUAACUUUUAAUAUUUUUUAUAUAUUUAAUUUAUUUUAAAUACCUUAUAUUACUUAUUUUUUAUAAAUAUUAGUUAUAUAAAAUAAUAUAUGUUUUCUUUUUGUUUAUAUUAUUUAUUAUAUUAUUUAUUAUAUUAUUUUUAAUAUUAUAUUUAUAAAUUAUAUUAUAUUAUAUUCUUAUUAUAUAUAUCAUUCAUUUCAUUUUUUUCAUUUUUUAUUUAUUUUUAUUCAUUAAUUGUGCAAAUUGCAAAUUUUUAAAUUAUUAUUAAAUAAUAAUAUCUAUAUUAUCUUUAUUUAUAUAAUGGUAUUCAUAUUUCAUUUAUAUAUAUUACACGUUCUAUUUUAUUAUAUAUUUUUACUAUGUAUGUAUAUUACUCAUUCUACUAUAUUUUUAUAUAUAAAAUUACUCAUAUCAUAUUUACUAUUUUAUACUUUAUCUAUAAUAUAGUUUAUAUUACUAUAUAUUGUGUUUAUAAAUUUUAUUGCAUGUUAUAUUUUACUAUACAUUAUUCUAUAUAUCACAUUUAUUUUAUUAUAAAAUAUACAUUAUUUUACUACUUAUUAAUUAUGUACAUUUUAAAAUUAUUUUUAAUAAGUGUAAUAGCAAUAUUUAGUACAUUAUUUUUUAUAUAUUAAGUUAUUAUACCUUAUAGUAUAAUCUAUUUAUGUGUAUAUCAUUUUAAAAAGAAAAGGGUUCUCUUUUAUCAUUCUUAUAUUAUUCAGUAUAUUUCUAAAUACCUUAUUUUUAUUUGAUUUAUAUUUAUACAUUUUAAUUUGUUUAUUUAUUUUAAUUUUUAUUUUAUUUUGAUAUUGUUUAGUAGGUUAAAUUUUAUAUAAUAUUUGUUAUUUUUUUUACAUAUUUGCACGAGAAUUAAUUAUUUAUGGUAAUUUAAACUACAUUUGCAUAAAAUAUUAUCAUAUAUGUAUAUCGCAAUUUAUAUUUGUUGUAUUCAUUAUGCACUACAUUGUAUUUUGCAUGUAACAAUAAUGUGUUAACAUUUAUGUUAUUUAUGAUAAUAUAUGCAUAAAGUAAUAAUGUAUAUUAUGUAAAUUAUGCCAUUAUCCAUGAUUUUUUAUACUAUAUUUGCAUAAAAUAAUAAAGCAUGUAUUAUGUAGCUAGGUGUUAUUUAAUGUUAAUUUCUUGUAAAGUGAAAGAUACAUCAUUAUUUUCAAAACAAAAUAUCUCAUUUAAUUCAAAAGGAAUUUUUAAAAAAGUGAGGCAAUGUUUUGAUAUUUAGGAAUUCGGGAAGCAGUGCCCUAACAUGUUGGAUUGCGGUUUCCCGUUUGUCUAAAUAUUUAAAAUAUCCUUUUAAAUAAGUUUUACAAAUCACAAGAUUAUUUCAGUUACGAAAGUUUAAAGAUAUCGUGUCCAAUCAUGCUGGAUGUGAUGUUUGUAUUCCUUUAAAACAAAGGAAUCUUGGUUCUUUUCUUAAAAUAUUACGGUUUUAAAUGAAAUCUCAUUUCUAAAUUCUUUCAAACAUCUGACAUUAAGACAAAAUUAUUCAAAUUGGUACCAAUUUUGGGCGUUACGAGGGUGCUAAUUCUUCCUCGUACGUAACUGACUCCCGAACCUAUUUUCUCAUAAUUUCGUAGAUCAAAACGUUUUAUAAAGUGAUCCAAUCGCACUUUAAAAGAUUGGUAGCGACUCCCGUUUUCGUUUUUUGAAACCCAUUUUUAAGGAGGUUUCGACAACUUGGCGACUUCGCUGGGGACUUGAGAGAGUCAAGCCAAGAAAUUGAGUAUUCUUUGUUUUAAUGUCGGAAGUUUGGAAAAUUUAAAAUUGGAUUCUUUUUACAUGUGUUUGAUGCAUAUGUUUAUCAUUUUCUUAUAUAUAUGAUACUGACCUAUUUUUAUUUUGUUGUUAUUAUAUGUCAUUUGGCAUUUAAAGGUGUCGAUUCAAGGCUCAAUUUCUAGAUUAGAAAGUUUUGUAAUGAGGAACGAAUACCUUAAUAAAGUGGAGGACAAUGCUUCUGUCUGUACCUGGUUAGAGAAAACCCAGUUAGAGAAAGGAGAUAGUGUCACUGAGGGGUAUACAUCAGAGUUAUGGGACUUCACCCGUGUUAAUUCGACGCAGAAUGAGUUGCAGGAGUUGAGAGAUGUUUGGGCCCAAUAGGAUGACGAGGCUAAGCAGCUCUUCUAUCAGAAUUAUGGAGACCUUCCUUAUUUGCUAGACGUCAAAGUAGAUAGGCAUUUGUUUCGAGGUAUGGUACAGUUUUGGAACCCUGCUUAUAGUUGUUUUACAUUUGGUGAUGUUGAUCUUGUACCUACUCUAGAGGAUUAUACGACUUUACUGCGUUGCCCGUGGAUUCAGGGUCACAAGGCUUAUGUUAGGCCUGCUAGCUUUCCAGUUUUUACAAAAAAACUGGUAAUGAUUACUGGGAUGAGUAAGCAGUGGGCUGUAGCUCAUGUGCAGCAGAAGGGUGAUAGUAAGUGCAUUCCAUGGGCCGUUUUGAGGGAUUUAAUAUCGACGCAUCUAGAUGUGAAGAAAAGGGUCGACGUCCUGGCUUUGAGUAUAUAUGGCAUGGUGAUUUUCCCAAAGGCGUUGGGGCACAUAGAUGAGGCGGUCGCGGAUUUAUUCGAUCGGCUGGGUAAACUGAACACGCCUGUGGCUGCAAUCCUAGCUGAGACAAUAAGAUCCUUGAGUGCAUGUCGAAGAGCUGGUGAAGGAAGGUUCAUUGGAUGUGCACAAUUGCUGUUGGUUUGGUUUCAUAGCCACUUCUAGAAGUUUGAUAAGGUUCCUUGCCGAGUAUACUUUGAGGGUUAUUCUCCCUUAAAGGAAGCAGUGGACAUGCCUAGGAGAGAUGACAUUUCAGAAGAAAGGUGGAUAGAUAUUCUCCAGAACCUUCAAGAGGAAGAUAUUAUGUGGAAGGCUCCUUGGUUGGUUCCCAGUGAAGUCCUUUAUCGAUGUGGCAGUUUUGAUUGGGUCCUUUUGCCAGGAAUUUGGGGAGUUGUUGGAUAUACACCAUUGCUUGUUCUAAGGCAGUAUCGAGCAAGGCAGUUUAUACCAGCUAACAGGGUUUAGCUCAGAGCGAUUUCUCUUAUAAGGGAGAUCACUACAAGAAGAGGAUGCGAGAGAUUGCUGAGGCUUGGAAGAAGCCUUUUUGUAUGAAGAUCUUGACUGAAGGUUUGACGCAACUCCUGAGUAUAAAAGGUGGUUUAGUAGGAAAGCCAACGAUAAUGUCCCUAAGCUAGUUUUGGGAGUGGUUCGAUCAUUAGAGGAGAGCUUAAGAGUGAUUCCAUCAGAGUUAGAAGUUAUGAAGCAAGAGUUCGAGAGAAAGAAUUCAGAGCUUGAAAAGAGGAUGGAGAAGCUCGAAGAGGAAAAAAUGUGUUUGAGUCUCGAUGUCGAUGUUCAAAAGAUAGAAGUCGAGAAGGUGAAAAAGGAAAAGAGAAAGAUCGAGGAAGAUCGAGAUGAUUUAAAGACACACUACAAGAAGGCCCAGGUAACGUUAAAAAGGGUCGGAUUAGGGAGAUCCUCAGAGCAAUGGCAACAAGAGAUUCAAGAGGAAAGAGCCAAAGUCGAGUAUUGGGAGAAAAGUUUCAAGAGAUGCAGUCGCGUAAUCAGGCCCUAGAAAAGGAAAAUCAGGGAUUAAAAGUUAAGGUGACAGAGCUUGGACGAUCUCUUCAUCAUUAACGAAGUCGUAAUUCUACAGUCGAGUUAAAAGCAAUUCUAAACAAGAUCAAGGAAAUGAAGCACAAUAUUGGAGGGUUGGAAACAACACUACAGGACUGUGAGCAACGGAUUGAGCAGCUCGAGGCAGGAGAAAAACAGUGGAAGGGAGAACUUCACCAUCUUCGAGAUCAAGUGAGAGAUAGAGAUUAUGUCAUGGAAGAGGCCUUAGUUCAGAUUCGAGGGGUUGCUGAACACUUACAGGAUUUGGCAAUACAAGCUAGAACGCUGAGUAUAAUGUAUGAGUCAUCGUCAGACAGGGGACGAGAGUUAGCAUUGUUAUUAGAUAGGGUUAAGACUCUAGGCCUACGGGCGAAAGUGUAUUUGUAAUCUGUUUUAUGAAAAGAUUUUUGUUCCUUAAAUAACGUUUUCUAAAAUGAAACUGAAUCAGAAUCAACAUCUUUUUGCAUUCAUGCAUUUGCAUCUCAUCACAUCAUAUGCAUUCAAGUUUAUAGAAAGACCAUAAUUAGUUAAAUUAUUAGGGAAAAAAGAAUAAGAGAAAAAAAUCUAGAAGCAACACAUCCUUACGAUACACGCGCUAAGUCGAAGAAUAUGGACCAAAGAUUUGAACAGCUACAGAAAGACAUGCAGGACCAAUUGCAGGAACAAUUGGAAAAAAUGUAAAAUGACAUGAGGGAGCAAAUGUUAGAAGCUCAAAGAAACAUGAUGGCUGAGAUGGCUUAACUACUGAGAGCCACUGUUAAGGGAAAGGCUCCCAUGGCAAUCACUGAAGAGGAGAAUGAGGGUCAUCCUCCUGGUUUCACUCCACCUCACAUACAAACCCAACCUGAGGCAUAUCCCCGAGGGCCGUCUGUCACAAUAAGGCCUCAACAGGGUCAAGUCGAUGCUGGGAUCCCCAUAAAUUUCCCAACUGGCUCGGGAUUCAAUUUGUGCGACAAUCCUGCAAAUCCUAUCAUUUCUGACUUAGACAUGGCUGAAAAAGAGGAUUUAAGAACCGAGAUUGCAAGAUAGUUGGAAGAACGCUGCAAAUGGUUGGAGGAAAAUUUAAGGCUUUAGAGAAUGCUGAUGGGCAUCAUAGAGUUGAUGCCAAAGAUCUAAGCUUGGUCCCAAACUUUGUGCUUCCUCACAAAUUCAAGAUGCCAGAAUUUGAGAAGUACAAUGGGACUACUUGCCCAGAAGCCCAUAUUACGAUGUUCUGUAGGAGAAUGACUGGGUAUGUGAAUAAUGAUCAACUAUUGAUCCACUGUUUCCAAGAAAGUUUAAUUGGAGCAGCAGCCAAGUGGUACAAUCAACUGAGCCGGGCCAGAAUAAGUUCAUGAAGGGAUCUUGCACAAGCCUUCAUGCAGUAGUACAAUCAUGUGACUGACAUGACUCCAGAUAGGAUCACGCUGCAAAACAUGGAAAAAAAGCCUAAUGAAAAUUUUAGGCAAUCUGCACAGAGAUGGAGAGAGGUGGCGAUGCAAGUUCAGCCACCGUUGUUGGAGAAGGAGACCACCAUGUUGUUCAUCAACACUCUAAAGGCUCUAUUAAUCACUCACAUGAUUGGGAGUACUACUAAAAGUUUUACGGAUAUAGUCAUGGCGGGAGAGAUGAUCGAGAAUGCCAUAAGAGGUGGCAAAAUCGAGAGGGAAGCAACCAAAAGAUCGGCCCCAAAGAGAAAGGAUGGUGAAGUGAAUAACACAAGUACACGAGGGCAAUCACAGUUGGUCAACCCAAAACAGCUGCGGUUGAGCAACAAAGUUCUCAAAAGAAGGAGUCGGGUACAAAGCAGAAUUCUGAAAGGAUACAAUUCACACCUAUCCCUGUAACGUAUCGUGAGCUCUAUCAAAGUUUAUAUGAUGCACAUGCUAUUUCUCCUUUUCACUUGAAACCACUGCAGCCCCCAUAUCCCAAAUGGUAUGACGCAAACACCAGAUGUGAAUACCAUGCUGGAAUACCAGGGCAUUCGAUCAAAAAUUGUAGCUGUUUUAAGAAGGCCGUAAAGAGGCUUAUUAAGAUGGGGGUAGUAAAGUUCGACAAUACCCCUAAUACUAAAAACCCGCUGCCAAAUCAUGGUGAUCAAGGAGUGAAUGCCAUUGGCGAAGUUAGUGAGAGAAGAAUGAAGGAAGAUGUUGCUGAGAUAAAGACGCCUAUGAGGGUGAUUUGGGAGGAGAUGAUGAAGAGAGGUAUGAUAACCUCUAAAAAUGCGAGAAGAGGAACAAGGAACUAUGGUGAGUUCCAUGAAGAUUGCGAAGAAUUCAAGGCCUUGGUGCAAGGCUUUAUAGACAAUAAAGAGCUACAAAUUUUUGAAGGUAGCUCUUGUGAAAAACAAGUAUGUGUGCUGGAGGAUGAACAGAAAGGAACUAGCUGGCCAAGGAUUAGUAUUUCCAUACUGGGGAAUAAUAAAGUGGGGACACAAAUGGAACCUAAAGUCAUCAUUCACAAACCUGUUUCCUUUCCUUAUAAGGAUAACAAGAGGGUACCAUGGAGUUAUAAUUGCCAUGUGUCAAUGCCGGAGAAGAAGGAUAUAGACAGUACGUCUAAGGAUGUACAAGUUGAGGGUUCUCAUACACGGAGUGGGAAGUGGUAUAAUACGGUGGGUAGCAGAGAAGAGCCCACAAAAACAAAGAAUACUAGUGCGGAGAAGGAGAAAGAGGCUGAAGUGUCUGUCAAGGAGCCAGUAAAAGAGGAAGAGGCUAGGGAAUUUCUAAAGUUCCUUAAGCAUAACGAGUAUAGCGUGGUUGAGCAGUUGCGUAAGUAGUUGGCUCGCAUAUCAAUAUUAGCUCUACUUCUGAGUUCUGAGGUGCAUCGGGAUGCAUUGAUGAAGGUGCUUAACGAAACAUAUGUCACCCAUGACAUAUCCGUUAACAAGCUGGACCGGUUCGUGAACAACAUAAGCGUGGACAAUUUCAUUUACUUUAAUGAUAAUGAAAUCCCACCGGGGGGCGGGGGUCAACUAAGGCUUUGCACAUUACCACUCGAUGCAAGGGGUACACACUCCCAAGCGUGCUUAUCGAUAAUGGAUCAGCCUUGAAUGUUCUACAGUUGUCUACAUUGAAUAGAUUACCCAUUGAUUAUUCUCAUAUGAAGACAUGUCAAAAUGUGGUAAGAGCCUUUGACGGUACCGAAAGGAAGGUGAUGGGAAGGAUUGACAUCCCCUUGGAAAUUGGGCCGAAUAUAUACGAAAUAGACUUCUUGGUGAUGGAUAUCAAGCCCUCUUACAAUUGCUUAUUAGGAAGGCCAUGGAUACAUACAGCAGGAGCGGUACCCUCAUCGUUGCACCAGAAACUGAAAUUAGUAACGGAUAGACGGUUAGUAACCAUCAAUACGGAGGAGGACAUUAUAGCCGCAAUCACUAGCAAGGCCCCUUAUGUCGAGACAAACGAAGAGUCUAUUAAUUAUUCCUUUCGCUCUUUAGAAUUUGUAAAUACAACUUUCAUUUCGGAAAGGAGUAAGUUAUUGGUGCCCAAGAUAGCAGGAGCUACGAGGAUGGCUCUACAAAUGAUGGCAGAAAAAGGAGCCUUACCAGGAAAAGGAUUAGGAAAAUACCUACAAGGAGGGACUCAAAUCCUAGAACUUAAAGAGAAGAGAGAACGCUUUGGUCUGGGCUUCAAACCAGACUAUAAGCAAAGGAGGAAAGAAAUUGAGAAGCACCAAGAGGGAAGAAGGGCGCGCCUUAAUAGAAGAGAAGUGGAGUGGGAGUCGAAUGCAUUUCCUCCAAUAUCCCAAACUUUCAUAUUGGGAGGAUUAUUUAUAGAAGAAAGUUAUCAGAUUAAUGCUAUACAAGAUAAAGGAUCAAAGCAAGGAAACCUUGAGUACAUUCGCCCUUACGAACUGGGAAGCUCUCUGAACAAUUGGACUGCGGAGGAACUUCCUGUAGUCUUUAGGAAUUUUUCAGAGUAAUUUUUGAAACAUUUUUGUUACUCUAGGGCCUAGGAGUAAAAGAAUUACAUUUGUGAAAUAGGCUUACGAUCAUUUAUUAUUUUUUAAUAAAACAUAACUUUUAUCAAUUUGAACGAGUAUUGUUUCAUUUUUAUCAACCAAUAUUCCUUUGCAAUUCUUAUUCUUUCAUUCAUAGCACAUAAAUAAUCAUUCUUAAAUUCAUUCAUUCUUUGUAUAUUCUUUAUAUGUCACAGAUCCCUAGAUAUCAAUGACAUGAGCACUGAUAUUACAAAUCCUGAUUUCUCUCGCGAGCAAGACAUGUGUUUAGAGGAAUUUCAGGAUUUUGAAGAUGUCCAGGAUUGUGAUGUGUCUUUGGAUCUUUUGAGGAUGGUAAAAUAAGAGGAGAAACAAAUCAUGCCACAUGAGAAAGAGACAAUAGAGAAUGUAGCCCUAGAGUAAGGGAAAGAGGUGAAAAUUGGCACGCAUAUUGCCGAGGACACAAGGCAAGGACUAAUUGAGUUGCUACGUAAGUUCAAGGAUAUCUUCGCAUGGUCCUAUCAAGAUAUGCCAGGGUUAAAUACCGAUAUUUUGGUGCAUCGUCUUCCGAUAAGACAGGAUUGUAAGCCAGUCCAAUAGAAGUUGCGAAGAAUGAGACCAUAUAUCGUAUUAAAAAUAAAGGACGAAGUCAAGAAGCAGUUUGAUGCAAGAUUCUUACAAGAGGUGAAGUACUCUAAAUGGGUAGCUAACAUUGUACCAGUUCCUAAGAAGGAUGGGAAGGUACGAAUGUGCGUUGAUUACAGAGAUUUGAACAAAGCUAGCCCAAAUGAUAAUUUCCCUCUGCCACACAUAGACACUUUGGUAGACAACACAGCGGGAUAUUCGUUUUUCUCCUUGAUGGAUGGUUUUUCAGGGUAUAAUCAGAUAAAAAUGCAUCCUGAGGAGAUGGAUAAAACCACAUUCAUAACAUUGUGGGGUACCUUCUAUUACAAGGUAAUGCCUUUUGGGUUGAAGAAUGUAGGGGCAACAUACCAAAGGGCUUUGGUGACCUUAUUUCACGAUAUGAUGCACAAGGAAAUUGAGGUGUAUGUCGAUGAUAUGAUUGCCAAAUCUCGAAUGGAGGAGGAACAUAUUGAAGUUUUAAAGAAACUGUUCUUGAGAUUAAAGAAGUUUCAGUUAAAACUUAAUCCGGCAAAGUGCACUUUCAGAGCUAGGUCGGGGAAAUUACUAGGCUUUGUGGUCAGCGAAAAAGGAAUAGAAGUUGACUUAGACAAAGUUAAAGCCAUAGGAGAUUUGCCUCUGCCACGUACUCAGAAGGAAGUUCAGGGUUUUCUUGGAAGGUUGAAUUAUAUUGCUUGGUUUAUUUCACAAUUAACUGAGAAAUGUGACCCUAUAUUUCGCCUCCUUAGAAAACACAACCAAGGUACCUGGAAUGAGGAAUGCCAGGAUGCCUUUGAUAAAGUCAAGCAAUACUUGUUAAACGCUCCAGUACUAUCUCCACCUAGUCCAGAUAAACCAUUAAUUCUGUACUUGUCGAUAUUUAGUAAUUUCAUGGGACGUGUGCUUGGUCAACAUGAUGAGACGGGAAGAAAAGAUAAGGCGAUAUACUACCUUAGUAAGAAAUUUACAGAGUGCGAGAUGAGAUAUUUACUAAUUGAGAAAUUGUGUUGUGCUUUAAUCUGGACGACUCGAAGGUUAAGACAGUACAUGCUGUAUCAUACUACUUGGCUUAUUUCAAAAAUUGAUCCUUUGAAGUAUAUGAUGGAGUCAACAGCGUUGAAUGGGAGAAUGGCGAGAUGGGAAAUUCUGCUUUCAGAAUUUAACAUAGUCUAUGUGAGCCAGAAGGCUAUAAAAGAAAGCGCGAUAGCGAAAUUUCUGGCUAGUAGAGAUCUAGAAGACUAUGAGCCGUUGAAUUUUGAUUUCCCAAAUAAGAAGUUGAUGUGUGUGGCAACUACAGAGGAUUGUCCUUGGAAGUUGAGCUUUGAUGGGGCAUCCAAUGCAGUGGGAAAUGGAAUUGGGGCAGUCCUGGUAUCCCCAAAUGGCAAUUAUUAUCCAUUCACAUGCAAGUUAGAUUUCGAUUGCACAAACAAUAUGACCGAGUAUGAAGCGUGCAUCAUGGGACUCCGAGCGGCUAUAGAGCGAGGAAUAAGAACCUUAGAAGUAUAUGGAGACUCUGCAUUGGUAAAUUACAAGCUUAGAGGUGAAUGGGAGACAAGGGAUCCUAAAUUGAUCAAUUAUCGAAAGGUAGUUUUGGGGUUACUUGAAGAGUUUGAUGACAUCACUUUCAAUUAUAUCCCACGAGAUGAAAACCAGAUGGCAGAUGCUCUAGCAACCUUGGCUUCAAUGAUUAGAGUGAAUAAAGAGGAGGAGAUGAGACCCAUUCAGAUGAGUAUCUUUGAGGCUCCAGCUCGCUGUUGCAAUAUUGAGGAAGAAGAAAAGGAUGAUAACCCUUGGUAUCAGAAUAUAUUACGGUAUGUGAGAGAUCAUAAAUAUCCAGAACAGGCAACUGAAAUUGAUAAGUGAACUUUAAGGAGAUUGGCCUACGAGUACAUUUUGGAUGGGGACAUCUUAUACAAAAGAAGAAAAGACCAAGUACUCUGGAGAUGUGUUGACGCCGUGGAGGCUAAGUUAAUCUUGGAAGAAGUUCACGAGGGUGCUUAUGGGACGCACGCUAAUGGUUUUACAAUGGCUAGACAGAUCAUGAGGUCUGGAUACUAUUGGUCUACUAUGGAAGGGGAUUUAUCAACUACGCCAAGAAAUGGCAUAAAUGUCAGAUCUAACGAGACAAGAUUCAUGUACCACCUUCACCUCUACAUGUUAUGACUUCUCCAUGGCCUUUUUCUAUGUGGGGCAUGGAUGUCAUUGGACCAAUAUCACCAAAAGCUUCAAAUGGACAUCGCUUUAUUUUCGUAGUCAUUGAUUACUCACGAAGUGGGUAGAGGCUGCCUCUUAUGCAAAUGUUACUAAGUCGGUUGUAAGUCGAUUCUUGAAGAAAGAGAUCAUUUGUCGGUAUGGGAUGCCUGAGAGGAUCAUAUCAGACAAUGCAUUAAACUUGAACAAUAAAACGAUAGCAGAAGUUUGUAGUCAAUUCAAGAUUAAGCAUCAUAAUUCAUCUCCAUAUCGCCCAAAGAUGAAUGGGGUAGUGGAAGCUGCUAACAAAAACAUCAAGAAGAUAGUGGGGAAAAUGACUGAAACCUACAGAGAUUGGCAUGAGAAGUUACCAUUUGCACUUUUAGCCUACCGAACGUCUGUCAGAACCUCUACUGGGGCAACUCCUUUCUCGUUGGUUUAUGGGAUGGAAGCGGUGUUACCCAUUGAAGUUGAAAUACCUUCUCUUCGAAUUUUUUCAGAGAUAAAGCUGGAUGAGGCAGAGUGGAUUCAAUCGCGGUAUGACCAAUUGAACUUGAUUGAGAAGAAGAGGCUAAAAGCUAUUCACCAUAGCCAGAUGUAUCAGAAGUGAAUGAUUCGAGCUUACGACAAGAAAGUGCGACCAAGAGAGCUCCACGAAGGGGAUCUUGUGUUGAAAAAGAUCUUUCCCAUUCAGAAAGACUUUAGAGGAAAAUAGAUGCCAAAUUGGGAAGGGUCGUAUGUCGUGAAGAAGGCUUUCUCUGGAGGUGCAUUGAUCUUGACAGAAAUGGAUAGGAAGAGUUUACCCAAUCCAGUGAAUUCAGACUCAGUCAAAAAGUACUUUGUCUAAAGGAGAAGAGAAUCCAAGGUGAAAACCCGCAAAGGGUGCCUUGAGUUUUCAAAAAAAAAAAAAGAAAAUGGAGAAGCCAAGGUGAAAACCCGCAAAGGGCACCUUGUGACCAAAGGGGUUUUGAGUUGAAAAUCCGAAAGGGCAGCUCAAAUUUUGAAGAGCACAUAGUAAUCGUGCUAUAUCUGAUUCAAUAAAGAGCAAAGAGCGUUGCAUAUUGGGGCAUCAACAAAGUACUUUGACUCUUUUAAACACAUGUUGAACUUAAGAAAGUCUUCAUGAAGCUGGUGUUUAGACGUUCAAGCGGCGGUAUCUAGAGCAUUUAACUCUUAUCCUGUUUGCUAUCUUUAGAUUCUAUUUCUUCUUAAAGAUAGGCUUUCAGAUUAAUUCCCUUUGUAUUUUUGACAAAUUUAUUCAAAUCUAAUUAUUCUCAAGAUUAAAUUCAUCUUCCAUUAUUCUUAAAGUGUGUUGCAUUAAAUAAUGAUAGAUGAACUAAAUGAUUUUCACAAAUGAAGUUUUGCUCAUUACUCUGGAAGUUUCUAGAUAAUACAAGAAACUGAAACGGAACAAUUGUUCAAGGAAUUCACGUAAGUGAGGUUCGAAAGAACUCGAGGGAAUUAUUUCUUUAGUCCAAAAUGAUGAUUGGACAAAUCAAACAAUUUGAUCCUAAGAGAGGAUCAUCUUACAAACAUUUUUGAUGGGUCAUAGCAUUUGAAGAAUGGUACAGACCCACAGGCUAAGUAAGAAUGAUAGUUCGAGAGAAAUAAGGAUGAGCUUUGCCGAAGGAAUGAGUAGUGACGUUUGAAAUAGUGGUCAUAUUCAUAAACAUUUUGCAUUAUAGCAGAUUUAAUUAGGAGCAUUUGACUCACUUCAAUCAUAGCAUCCUAAUCAUUAGGCAUGAACUCAUAUGCAUUAUACAGGUUAAGUCCUUCAAAGGACAAUGAAGAUUGAUGCACCUCAACCCCCUAAGCAGUAGGGUAGCAGGCUAAAGCAUAGCAAAUUUGGCUUUCACGUGUUUACACUGAAGUGAAUCUAAGAAGAUUUGGCAUUUCUGUAUUGUCAGAAAGCAGAUCGAAGAUAGCAUAUUUGGUAUCUCUGUAUUGUCAGAGAACAGAUCGAAGAUAGCAGAUUUGGCGUCUCUGUAUUGUCAGAGAGCAGAUCCAAGAUGAUUUGGCAUCUUCGUAUUCGACGAGGAGCAAAUCCAAGAAGCAGAUUUGGCAUUCAUGUAUGUUCAGCGAGCAGAUCCAAGCUGAUUUGGCAUCUUCGUAUUCGACGAGGAGAAAAUCCAAGAAGAAGAUUUGGCAUUCCUGUAUGGUCAGGGAGCAGAUCAAAGAUGAUUUGGCAUCUUCAUAUUCGACGAGGAGCAAAUCCAAGAAGCAGAUUUGGGGUCUCUGUAUUGUCAGAGAGCAGAUCGAAGAUAGCAAAUUUGGUGUCUCUGUAUUGUCAGAGAGCAGAUCGAAGAUAGAAGAUUUGGUGUCUCUGUAUUGACAGAGAACAUAUUGAAGAUGGCAGAUUUGGUGUCUCUGUAUUGUCAGAGAGCAGAUCGAAGAUGACAGAUUUGGCAUCUCUGUAUUGUCAGAGAGCAGAUCAAAGGUAGCAGAUUUGGCAUCUCUGUGUUGUCAGAGAGUAGAUCAAAGAUAGUGUAUUUGGCGCCUCUAAGCAGAUCGAAGAUAGCAGACUUGGCGUCUCUGUAUUGACAGAGAGCGGGUCAAAAAUAUCAACAUGGCGUCCCUGAGGUUGCAGGGAGCAAGUUGAAGAUAGCAGAUAUUGCCUUCCUGAAGUUACAAGUGAAGCAAAUUGAAGCUGUCAUAUUUAUGAUCCAAUACCUCUGAAGUUGCAGAUAGGUUGAAGACCAUUGGAAGAAAAGAUCUCAAAGACUGGGCCAGACCAGGCAAAAUGGGUCAUUUUAUAGUCUUUGCUUUAUUCCUGUUACACAGCAAAGAGCAAAGAGGGGCAGCUGUAGAACCUAUAUUUUGCCCGGGCUUACAGGAAUUAAAAUUAAACAAAGAAAUAAAAUUAAAUAGUCCAUUUAAAGUCCUUUUACAGAACCCAAAAUACAAACCAACUAAUCACAGCCCAAAAAUUAAAACCCAAAAUUAAACCUAAAAAUUCUACCCGAAUACCCAUUACACCCAUACCAAAACUCACAACCCGAAUCAGCCCAAAAUACCCUUUUGAUCCAACAAACAAACACAGCCCAGCAGGCCCAACUAACUUAAGGAGUUUCAGCUUCUGAGAAACCCUAGCUAGGGUUCGCGCCGUAAGCUCCCAGCCGACAUCAGCCUCGUGUUGUGCCGCAAUCAAAGGCCUCAAUCAGCAUGCCCUUGCCUCCGUCGCAAUCAUCGUGUAUAAACUUGCAAAAGGAAGGAAAAUGGCAUAGAAUCGAAACUAAUAUGGCAAGGAAUAAAACCAGAUUUCGUAACAUUUAUUUUUAAAUUCCCAAUGGCUAUAAAAGGCCCAAAUCAGAACGAUGUAAGAGAGUUUUUUUUGGGAUAUAUACACAUAUAUUAACAGAAAUAAAAAACACAAGCAGUUUUCAUACCAAAGAGCAGAGGUGAUUUAUUUGCUCUAUUUCCUUCUUUAUAUUUUUUUUGCAUGUAAAUAAUGUUAGAAACGAAUAUACAGGUUACCUGUUCAUUCGUGAGAGAAAAAGGAAAUUUUUAAAGCCCUAACCGUCGGGCACGGUGGUUCAGACGGUGGCGCGUGAAGCGCGUGUGGACGAAGGCGGUGGUGCUCCGAGACGAGCCAGGACGGCCACUGGCCAGAGCUCUGAG
rnacentral:lncRNA from 1 species